rnacentral:lncRNA from 1 species
CGAGCACUACAACUUCACGUCCUGGGCUCAGAGCCCAAAGCGGCAAGGACUGUGGGCCGACGUGUGCUGAGAAGCAACAGGAUUUCGUUGGAAAGACUGGGCCAGGGUCCAGGAUGCGGACGCGUCGGAUUCCAACGCCGGCCUUAUAUACAAGGUCGCCCUAUGUUUCCCGAUCGAUCGAUCCAGAUCUAGAAGGGGGAAACCACCACAGCAGAGAAGAAGAAUCAAGCCAGGCGAGCAGAGGAGAGGGAAGACAUGGAUGUGCGCGAGGGGACGCGGAGGAUGAGGGGUGCUUCCAUCCCUGCUCCGCUCGAGGGGGAUGGCGAGAGCCUGCUGCUGAUGUAUCUGCCUCAGCCGGCGCCGGCGUCGGCGUCGGCGGCGAUGAUGCCCACGCCGCCGCCCUCGUUGGAGGACUUCGAAGCUUUAGGAGAAGAUGGCAGGCUGUUGUGGCCGUCCAAAGAAUUGCUCAGGCAGAUGUUGGUGGCCAUCGCCCCGGCCGGAUCGAUUCCGCCCGCUGUCUAAUUAAUUACGAGUAGCUUUCUUUCUACUCGAUCGUCUGCCCAUAUGUAAUAAAAUUGUGACCAUCGAUGAGGGCGACUACUUUGUUUGUAUGCACUGUCUUGUUUUAAUCGAUGAUGGACUGCCUACUGUCUAAUAAAUUGUUGUUUGUUUGGCAAAGCAAAUGUAACGCCAUGUUUAGUUUGAUCCCAAUUCCUUGCUUGUUCGUCUGCAUAUUGAUUGCUCUUGGUGCAGAUGAACAUUUCACCUACAGCUGCUGGGGACUUGAUUAUAACCGGCUGAGCCGGCAACUUGCCCCUGUCUUAUUUGAUUGCUUUGCUGCUCUGCAUAUCCUCAUAUCUAUCUACCUGCACAUCAGUGGGUCAGGGCUUCCAAGGACCUGGUGAAAAAGGGGAUUCAUCAGGAUUGGGUGGCAAACACCACUUCGUUUCAACCAGCGCAUCUUUAUCAGGUUGAUGUUUCCCGUGCCUGCUUUAUAGUCUCAAUAGACUAUGAUGUGCACUUAUAUUGGAGGUGUAUUUAUUUAUUUAUCUAUCUGAUAUCCGGGGCGAGGCACUCUGUUGGCCAUGGACUGGUGGUAGUCCUGUCCAAUGAGUUUUUGUUACAAACAUUAACACAUGGACACCACCGAAAAUACCCACGCACUGUCAUAUAAGACAAUUUCACUCUGCUGACAGCACCAACUUGCUACUAGAAACAUAACUGCUCAUAUUACGUCGUUGGCGAAGUAUCGGGUGAAAAUGGCUUUUCAGUGCAAAUCUAGAAAUUUCUAUUCAACACUGUUGGAUCAAUGGCGGACGUCCUAGAUUAAAGGUGGGACUGCUAACAUCUACUUAAAUGAAAAUUAGCGGAUAACCCCCUCUCUCUAUUCAUCAUCAUGUCAAUAGGGCUUGACCCUUCGUUAAUUUCUGGAUCAGAUCGUCUUCAUCGUCAUGAGCGCCGCCGCCAUGCACCUUCGGCCGGCGCUUACCCGCAGCUGGCCGCGACCUGCCCUCCGCUUGUCCGAAUGAGCCUUCCAUCGUUAGGGAGUGGCCCUCUGCUGAUGGCAACUCUCCCUCUGCUCGUUGCGUCUCUAUCCAUAAAUUCUCUUACAGAUAACUGAAUUCAUAGUUUCAUACAUCUAAAGAUUAGAUGUCUUUCACGGUGUGGUUUUUAAAUGAAUACAACUUCUGAAGUCAGAUUGCAUAAGCAAGCUUACACGUUUCAUCAAUAGACAAAUGCAACAUUCGGAUACGAUUUCUGAAUUCAUAGUACAAAGCAAGAAUUCUGCUGCAGAAUGUGACUAUAGAGCUUUGGCUGCCAAAUUCAUUGAGUCAUCGUCGCCUGAGGUAUAACCACGGCUGUCAAGCCAUCGUGCGGAAGGAAGUCUCGCGGCCACGAAGUCGUAUCGUCAGCGGCAGUUGCGUGGUUUCCGAACCACCGUUGUGUGUCGGCGGAGAUGUUGUCGCUGAGUCAUCGUCCUGUGUGAGCGGAGCUGUGGCCGUCGAGCCACCAGUUCGUUGGGCAGUGUCCAAGACGCCAGUUGUCGUCGCUCGAGGCUUCGAGGCACCGUCGCCGAUGUGUGACGGGCAGCCACCCAACCGUCGAGCCACCGUCGCGUGGGGUGAGUUGCGGUCGCGGAAUCGCCUCUGCGCGGUGAAAGAGCCUGAGCCAAGGCCGCGUGGGGAUAACGCCGCGCCGCCAGAGGGCCGGUCGCGGCCGGCUGAGGGCAGGGGCCAUGCGGCUGUGGAAGGUGUAAAUGGCGGUGACGCUCAAGACGAUGAAGACGAUCUGAUUCAAGAAUUAACGAAGGAUCAAGCCGUAUUACCUGAUGAUGAAGAGAGAAAGGGGGUUAUCUGCUAAUUUCUGUUCAAGUGGAUGUUAGCAGUCCCACCUUCAAUCCAGGACGUCCGCCAACAAUCCAACAGUGUAGGAUAGGAAUUUUUACAUUUUCACUGAAAAGCCAUUUUCAUGGGAUACUUGGCCUACGUCGUUUGGCUGCAGUCAUGCUGAAAGGAUUCAUGUUUGGAGGAACUCUUAGAUGCCAUCGAUGCAGAAUAACUCAUUCUCUACACCCGGAUCGGACGGCCCCCACUUUGGAGCUGUUCGGCUCAACUGACCAAACAUGCAUACCCACUUUUUGGCCAAUGUAAUUUCUUCAACUUUUCUUGCGUCGCCUAUGACGGUUAUUCUUGAAUCGUAGGGCAAUAUUGUGCAGUUGGUUUGCAAAGCAGGUACCAUGUAGUUUCUUCAACUUUAUAUCAAGUAUUCUAGUUUGAAUCACUAAAGUUCUGAGCUUCCAGGCAUAUCAGAAUUAUUUGGGAAUUUCCUUGCAUUGUCAAUUCAUUUAUUCAUGAUUAGAAGCUUCAAUUUUGAAUUUUGUAGUUCAGGCACUCUAUUUUUGUAUGCACUGUUUUAAUCAAUAUAUGAUGUCUAUUUGUUGUUUUGCAAAGCAAAUGUAAUGUCAUGAUUCAGUCUUGUUUCUUGCUUGUUCCUCUGCAUAUUGAUUGCAUUUGGUGCAGAUGAAGAAGCUCUACACAUCCUCGUAUCUGUCUACAUGUAGAUCUAUGGGUCCGGGCUUCAAGGACUUGAUUGAAACAGGAUUCGUCAGGACUCAUCAAUGCAUCUUUACCAGGUUGUUGUUUUUCCUGCAUGUUUUCUAGUCAGUAGUAAGUACACUAUGAUGUGCUCUUACAUUGCAGCUUAUUUAUUUAUCUCACUUGGCCGAGGCACUCUGAUGGCCAUACACUCGUGUGCACUCUUCCAGUGACUAGGGGUUGCGCCUCCUGAGACGAAGUUGUGCGGUGCUAUGUUGGCAUCCUUGGUAACACAUGGACAUGGCAUUUAAUAAGUUGGACUACAAAUAAGGAACUAAAUAAAUGACACUCAAAUACAAGGAGAUUAGGGCAUCUAAAACACAAAGCACUGAAAGGCAUGAUAUAGAAUCAGACUGAGGGAGAGAGGCUACACAUACUCAUGAAGUGAAGAACUCAGCAUUCAAUUGUGACAUGAAGUGCUACACCAAAACAAUAAGAGCACAAUGACCGGAAAUUUAAGGGCUUCAAGCUGAAUACUCAAAUUGUAAAAUCACCAAAAAAUGCCACUCAGUUCCGUGGAGAGCUUUGGCUACCAGUUCUUCAUGGUGGAUUCUGAGACAUGCCCUGCAAAGCAACGAGAGGAAGACACUCUUCAACAUGUCUCCUAGGAACAGAGACGACGAUACAUGCAGAGAAGAGCGAUGGGGAGCUUGCUGCCAAGUUUAGUCACCAAAUUUGCAUUAUCCAUUUUCCGUUUUAAGAGACAAUUGAGUCAAUAGUCACAUUGCUAUUGGUGGAGAUCAGGCCAUAAGAAUUUAAGACAAACAUAUAAACACUAAAGUAUAUGGGACGUCCUUCAAAAUUUCAGUCAACCUUUCAUACAAACCCAAGCAAAUCGAAUAAAGCUCCUUAAUCGGGGAUGGUGAAAAAAUGAUGGAAGAGGAGGUGCCGCUGCUUACCUCGCUGAUGGUGCCAUGGAUCUAGAGCUCGGGGGAGAGGGGGUGCCGCUGCUUCCUAUCUGCCUUGCCUGAUCUCGUCCGCGAGAGGGGGGGCUCCUAAUGUUAUGCAUGUUAGGCUUCUUGAAACUUCCCAAUAUCCGACACUCAGAUUAAGAUGGCUGGUUGGGUCCCGAUCUUUAGAAAUGAAGCUGAUUAGGUCUUGAUCUUUAGAAAUGACCAACUGUCCCUGAUCUCAGCUUAGCAAGGCAGAAAUAGUUACAACAUGAAUUUGAUAAUGACAUCUAACAUUCAUAUAAGAGACCUAUCUCAAUAGCUACACAUACACAAUAACAACAAGAAUAUGUGAAUGUCAAUGAAAGGAAAAUCUGAGCAUCAAAGAUGGCCUAAAGGAGCACAAUCGAAAUAUACGCCAAUUGUCCCUCCUUCCAUCUAUAUAGGGCCUAAUGUGUUUUUCAAGACCGCCUUUGACUAUUGAUAAGAUUAAUAAUACAUGAGAUGUAUAAUGUGAAAAUUAUAUCAUUGGAAGCUCCUUUCACGUACGAAUUUGACGGUAUAUAUACUUUGUGUAACUUGCAUGUCAUAUAUUAUUGCUCUAACAUUUGGUCAAAGUUAGCCUUGAAAAACGCAUUAGGCCCUAUAUAGAUGGAAGGAGGGAGUAUUGGGUUUCACCACUUCCUUUAUGAGCACAGGAAUCCACUCUACAAACUUAGUUGUUGUACAACACAUGCAUUCCAUAGCCACAUCAGUAACCAUGCACUUAAAUUCACUACUAAAAUUCUCUAAGACAUGAGCCAGCUUUUAGGAAGCCUAGGCAUGGCGCGGACGACUCGGCUUGGAGUUUCCUUCAAAGGGAAGGAAUCGAGACGAAGACCAUUUUAUGGAAGCACCUUUUCUUCUAACAUUGGCCGAUAUCAUAUCUCCAACGAAAUUGAAAUCCAUGAGGACAUAGCCCAUCCAACGAAACUUGAAAUCCAUGAGGACAUAGCCCAGUAAACUGUAGUAAUAAAAUAUGAUCAACAAACCAAAUUAGAAACUAUCUCAAUGAGCUAGAAUGGUCCAAAUUUCUGUACAAAUGAGGCAAACCAUUGAAUUCCUUAGGUAAUGCUAUGAAAAUGUCAUUUUCUUUACACAUAUUAAAACUUUGGCAUGUACAUUUUGACAUAAUAAUUUUGGAAACUUCCAGUUUAUAUUCAAUUUGAUGGAGCUGACACUGAAAUUUGGCUUCAUACAGCUGAUGUGCCUUAUCUAGUUCUUUUUUAGGGGUCCUUAUCUCGUAUUUAUAUGUGUUUUAACUGGCUAAUCCUGCCAUGCUAAGUGCAAAAACGUCCAGUGCAAUCACACAAAGGAUUUGGUGAGGCGCAUUUGGUAGAAGUGCCAAUAACAUAUUUUUUGCUUGCUACGAUGAAAUCUUCAUAAACGUAUGUAUAACUACUUUUGAGUUGUAGCCAAGUGUAUCUUAUGAACAUAUAUAAAACACAAUUGUGUCUACCUUGAACACUUGAUUCCUGGGCUAUGAAGAAUCAAUCGAGAAAUACAAAACCUGGAGGCACCAACUCCGAACAUAAGACUGCAACCAGUGGCCCUGUGCAUCAACCAAAUAAAUUAAUUAGCUUCCCAUGGACACCCAACUCUAAACAACACUCUAUGUUUCCAUGAAAGGCUUGCUAGGAGUUGCCUUGUGAUUGUCAAAAUUGAGCAGAAUCGGUUAGAAAGAGAUUCUUGAUGGUUGAAAAACAAAACUACAUAAUCGAGCAUAGUCUAUUCAAUCGAAGUAGAUUGCUUCAGGAACAUAUAGCCAUAUAGCAUCAUACAUUCCAAACCAAAUUAAGACUUGGAUUCUCGUCACCUAGUACGCUCCAUUGUCGCCAUCUAUCAGCAGCACCCCCAUAUGUGAAGCAGAAUAGAAGACAUGUUCAGCUGCACUUGCAUACUACUGCAGGCGAAGAAGACACAGAAUCUAGUUCAACGAUGUAUCUCACGUAACAUUAACUAACUAAUCUAUCUUCAUAUGUGAAGCAGAAGAGAAGACAUGACUAUUUAAUCGGCCAUGAUAUAACAGGGCAAGACUCAAAUUUUACAUGACCAUUAUAUUAUUGUUAGUAAGCAAAAAUGACACUACUGGUGGUAUAUACGAUGUAAUUAAUGAACACAUCAAACUGAACAAAGUGUAAGUAGAAGCUGAACACACAUUUUGACAUAACUAAAGCAUCUUCAGAAUAUUCAUCUCACAAUAAUAAAUAUAGUUAUAUAGAGGUUAGUAAUAAAACUGACCAGGGCAAUCAAAUUUUCCAGUACAAUGAAAACAUGGCAUUGAUUAUCCUGGGACGCAUCCCUUUAUGGUCUGCAGAGGAUAAGACAUUUGUAAACUUAGAAGGCAAAGUAAUAUGUAAGCAUCAGCGAGAGAAUGGGAAAUGGCCGUAUUUUUCCUGUUCUCAUAACCUACCACAUCAGCAAAUUAGAAACUUUUUUAUUUAGUCUUUUAAAAUGGAAACCAACACUGAUACGUGCAAAGACAUUGUUGAACCAAUAGUGAAAUAUGUACGUACACUGUUGAUAUGGAGCAAUAAGUUAUAACAAAAAUUACAAAAUUAUAAGAAUAUGUCAGAAUAGCGCAUAGUUAGCAAGUAAAAAACAGGAGCCGCAAUACCUUUCAAGGUAUUUUGAUCUGGGAGCAUCAAAUAAGGGACCUCUAUGUUCUCUCAACAUGGAUCCCAGCCGCUCCUAAAACCUUGAACCAAAAAAAGAACAAUAAUCCAGCUAUCAUUAUUCCUGAGUGAUUCCAUGAUUAGAUUUACUUCUAAGAGAGCAGUCUAAUGCAUUUAUCACAUUUGGAAAGCCUAAUAAAAACAUUAGUUUGAAACCUGACUGUAAACGGCUGUUAGUAACAAUUUUCUAACUUUUUACUCGGCUCAUAGUCUUCAUAUAUUACGGUGAAAUUACAUAAGGUACAAACUGUACUCUAAAGAGCGCAGACUAAUGCAUUCAUCACAAGUGGAAACCCUAGCAGAUAUCGUUUAAAGAUUUUCUACUGAGUUUAAUAUGCAGCCUCACUGUAAAUGUUGUUAUUAACAUUUUCUACUGAGCUCGAAGCCUUCAUACAGCAAGGUAUGUCGGGGAACUGUCAUCACCGCGUGAUGAAGCGGGUAGGGAACGAACAAUGGCAACCAUGCCGCGGGCGGCCCUCUAAACAUCUAGGCAUCACAUGUUAGGCAUGAACUCUAAUUCUGAGGUUAGCAAUGGAGAAAGCUGUAAAGCAACAACUGUAUGACUUGCUCUUUGUGCAUCAUUAUUGCUGGAUCGAUUUUCAGAAAAGCAAUCACAAAGACAAAAGGAAAAUUAAAUCCAGGCCAAAUUUAUCACUUACAGCAGGUAGACCGUAGACCUCUAAGAACCACUUAUAAGAUCUUGCCGCAUUGUCAGUUAGCUCACCGUCCCAAUACCUGUAACAACAACAAGACACAUUAGUAAUUAGCACUUUAUAAGGGAAUUACCCCAGCUUUACUGAGUUGAUUAAAAAUUUACUUGAGAGAACACCUAGCUGAUCUAUCUUGCAAUUUAUAGAGACAGAGAGACAUGAAAAACUAUAACUACAUUUUUGGAGUUGAUGUCUGAACCCUGAACAUGUCAAUCCAUCCCAAUGACCCAAAAUCUGUAAACUGUGUGCUCUCCGACGAUGCGGGACGCCGUCCUCCAGCGCACCUUCUACAGAAGAGCCUUCGCCCUACAUGUGACGCCCGGAUAAUUAGGCUACAAUAAUCCCGCGUUAACGAUGCCACGUCACCUCGGUUACUGUUGAUAAACUCGAGUUAGUUCAAAAACGAUUCAAAUUAAAAUUUAAAAUAUAGGCAAACAAUAAAAUUUUCAAAUAUUAAAACUAAAAUGUUUGGGUUGUGUCAAAUAAAUCGUAAGUAAUUAUGGUGGAGAAACCAAACUUUGUUAUAAAGUUUAAAGGCUCUAAAUUAAUUAAAAAAAAUGGCUAAAAAUAAAUAUUUAAAUGCCUUCUAAAUUUAUAGAAGUGCAAAAUAUUUCAUUUGGGUACCGAACUUUUUGUGACCGUGUCUCAUUUUGCCACUCUAAAUAUGGAGCCAGUUUAAUAUUUUGUAAAACUAUUUUACUAACAAAAAUAAAAGAAAACAGUACAUGAAAAAUAUAUAAAAGGAAGAGGUAUAAACAAAAACAAAACAACAACAAAAAAGGAAGAAAGACCCCCCCCCACGCUGGGCCUCAGCCCAGCUGGCCAUCCAACCGGACCGGCCCACCUAACCCCCCCAUAAACCCCCACCGACGGAAACCCUAGCCCGGUCCACCCCCACUGCUCCCGCACGAUCCCCACUCCUCCCCCACGUCUCUCUCCCCCUCGUCUCGAUCUAGAUCGGGGCCGCGCCCGAUCCCGACGCAGGCGCCCAUCCCCGACCGCGNNNNNNNNNNNNNNNNNNNNNNNNNNNNNNNNNNNNNNNNNNNNNNNNNNNNNNNNNNNNNNNNNNNNNNNNNNNNNNNNNNNNNNNNNNNNNNNNNNNNNNNNNNNNNNNNNNNNNNNNNNNNNNNNNNNNNNNNNNNNNNNNNNNNNNNNNNNNNNNNNNNNNNNNNNNNNNNNNNNNNNNNNNNNNNNNNNNNNNNNNNNNNNNNNNNNNNNNNNNNNNNNNNNNNNNNNNNNNNNNNNNNNNNNNNNNNNNNNNNNNNNNNNNNNNNNNNNNNNNNNNNNNNNNNNNNNNNNNNNNNNNNNNNNNNNNNNNNNNNNNNNNNNNNNNNNNNNNNNNNNNNNNNNNNNNNNNNNNNNNNNNNNNNNNNCCCUGCUACCUUCGCCGCAGCCGGCGCCCUCCCCUGUCCGGCGCCCGGUUGGGUUCGGCCACGUCCUGGCGCCCCGCACCCGAUCCAUCGCCCGCGCCCGUUUGGCCCUAUGGGCAACUGCCCAGUGGGCCCCCCCUCACACCCCUGUUAAAAAAAAGAUAAAAAAAAGAAGAAUAAUUAAUUAAUUAAUUAAUUAACUUAAUUAAUGUUGCUUAAUUAACCAAUUAACUAUCUAAUUAGCCUAAGUAAACAUGUUAGUUAACUAGACAGUCAAUGACAGGGGGCCCCACCCCUGUUGACCAGUCAAAGUUUGACUGGUCAAAUGGGUUCCCCUGGUCCCACUUGUCAGCCUGUGUACAAUUUUUGUGUACACUGUGCUGGGUACAUCUAGCAAUUUAACAUUAAUUUCGAAUUAAAAUAAAUUAGAAAAUGAAUUAAAACUUUGAAAAUUAAUAUAAAAUAAUUCGUAACUCGGAUGGAAAAACUUUGUACAUGAAAGAUGCUCAGAACAACGGGACGAUUCCGGAUACGCAGCCCGUUCGUCCGCCACGGGUCCCUAGCAUAGUGAACCUGCAACAUUUCAUCUCCGGCUCCUCUGCCCGAAAACACGGAACACCGGGAAUACUUUCUCGGAUGUUUUGCCCCUUCGCCGACAUCACCUCAUACUGCGUUAGGACACACCUAGCACCGCUCAUUGUCACGUCACGCAUCGUCGUGUUUAUGUUUGCAUUGUAUUCAUUGUUUCUUCCCCCUCUUAUCUCCGGUAGACUACGAGACCGACGCUGCUGCUGCCCAGUUCGACUACGGAGUUGAUGACCCCUCUCUCUUGCCAGAGCAACCAGGCAAGCCCCCCCCCCUUGAUCGCCAGAUAUCGCCUAUUCUCCUCUAUACUGCUUGCAUUAGAGUAGUGCAGCAUGUUACUGCUUUCGUUAAUCCUAUUCUGAUGCAUAGCCUGACAUUGUUGCUACAUCUGUUGAUACCUUACCUGCAAUCCUAAAUACUUAGUAUAGGAUGCUAGUUUAUCAUUAUUGGCCCUACAUUCUUGUUGGUCUGCCAUGCUAUACUACUGGGCUGUGAUCACUUCGGGAGGUGAUCACGGGCAUAUACUAUAUACUUUACACUGUUACAUUACCUGUGAUACUGUUCGGAGAUGGGGGGCUGAAAGGACAGGUGGCUCCAUCCCGGUAGAGGUGGGCAUGGGUUCCCGACGGCCCCCGACUGUUACUUUGUGGCGGAGCGGCAGGGCAGGUUGAGACCACCUAGGAGACAGGUGGGCCUGGCCCUGUUCGGCGUUCGCGGAUACUUAACACGCUUAACGAGAUCUUGGUAUUUGAUCUGAGUUGGCUACGAGCCUAUACGCACUAACCAUCUACGUGGGAGUAGUUAUGGGUAUCCCGGAGUCGUGGUAUCAGCCGAAGCACUUCAGACGUCAGCGACGGAGCGGCGCGCGCCGAAUUGGACCGGAACGCCACUAGGCUAGGUCUGCUUUCGGCCGCCCUCGCAACGUGCAGGUGUGCUAUGGGCGAUGGGCCCAGACCCCUGUGCGCUUAGGUUUAGACCGGCGUGCUGGCCUCUCUGUUUUGCCUAGGUGGGGCUGCGACGUGUUGAUCUUCCGCGGCCGGGCAUGACCCAGGAAAGUGUGUCCGGCCAAAUGGGAUCAAGCGUGUUGGGCUAUGUGGUGCACCCCUGCAGGGAAGUUAAUCUAUUCGAAUAGCCGUGAUCUUCGGUAACAGGACGACUUGGAGUUGUACCUUGACCUUAUGACAACUAGAACCGGAUACUUAAUAAAACACACCCUUCCAAGUGCCAGAUACAACCCGGUGAUCGCUCUCUAACAGGGCGACGAGGAGAGGAUCGCCGGGUAGGAUUAUGCUAUGCGAUGCUACUGGAGAUGCUACUCGGAGAUUCUACUUGGAGAUGUUACUUGGCGAUGCUACUUGGAGGACUUCAGUCUACUCUCUUCUACAUGCUGCAAGACGGUGGCGGCGAGAAGCGUAGUCUUCGACAUGAUUAGUUAUCCCCCUCUUAUUCUGGCAUUCUGCAGUUCAGUCCACUGAUAUGGCCUCCUUACACAUAUACCCAUGCAUAUGUAGUAUAGUUCCUUGCUUGCGAGUACUUUGGAUGAGUACUCACGGUUGCUUUCUCCCCCCUUUUCCCCCCUUUCCCUUCUACCUGGUUGGCGCAACCAGAUGCUGGAGCCCAGGAGCCAGACGCCACCGUCGACGACUACUACUACACUGGAGGUGCCUGCUACUACGUGCAGGCUGCUGACGACGACCAGGAGUAGUUAGGAGGAUCCCAGGCAGGAGGCCUGCGCCUCUUUCGAUCUGUAUCCCAGUUUGUGCUAGCCUUCUUAAGGCAAACUUGUUUAACUUAUGUCUGUACUCAGAUAUUGUUGCUUCCGCUGACUCGUCUAUGAUCGAGCACUUGUAUUCGAGCCCUCGAGGCCCCUGGCUUGUAUUAUGAUGCUUGUAUGACUUAUUUAUGUUUUAGAGUUGUGUUGUGAUAUCUUCCCGUGAGUCCCUGAUCUUGAUCGUACACAUUUGCGUGCAUGAUUAGUGUACGAUUGAAUCGGGGGCGUCACAAGUUGGUAUCAGAGCCGACUGCCUGUAGGAAUCCCCCUUCCACACUCCUUGGCCGAAGUCGAGUCUAGACAUUGCAAAACUUUUACUAACUUGGCUGUGUGCCUUACGGGCCCACGUCGCCAUCGGGUGGUACUAGGAUCUUUUACUCCUCGACCUUUACUCUGGGACUCUGAUCUCUCUUCUAUUCGGGUUAAAUGAAUUUUGCUAAAUCUAACAUUAGGAUCUCGUUAUCACUUUCACCCGGAGAGCCCCUUAUUACUGAUGAUCGUCUGCUGCACGUGAAGACCCUGAAGAUACUUUCCGCUGUUAGGCCGAGAACUUGUGUUCAUCGCGUUUGCAAUUCCCCUUCCACCGUCAACCCUUAUGGGUAACUACUUACAGUUGUUAUUCUUAUAUCAUCCCUAGUUGGUCUUGUUAUUACAAGAUACCCUGAAAAACUCGUCGUGGUUUCGAUAAUCCCUUGAGCUUACUGCCUUGCUGUUCUUGUCACUUGAAUACCCCUACGGUUAAUUCUCGCAUUUAUAGAAUAUCCGCUCAUCCCCCAGUUGUUUAGGUGUUACACAAAAGUCUUCGAAAUACCACCCGAUAUUCCAAAAAUCCUCAGCAACCUAUUGCUCUGGAAUUUCUUGUUUGCUUUCAUUAUGAUUAAUCCCAUAAGUAUAGAAAUCUUAUUGACAUUCCUUGUCAUUAUCAUUUUGAGUCCGUUGACUCAAUAUGUGGCGAAUGCAAGUAAUCAUCAGUUGAUCCUUUUAAAUUAUCUCUCCAGCUCAGACGUCUUUCAAACAUGAGCUGGUUCUCGACCAAACUAUCUGUCAUCGAUUGUGCCUCUGGUAUAUUCAAUUGAUCCAUCCUUGAUCAGAACGUCUGCUUCUGAUCCUUUGUUGUGGAAAUCAUAAUUCCUUUUUAUUUAAGCUUUGAAUUAUUCAGAUGAUUCCAUAACCUGUUGCAUUUGCAUUCCUUCCUCUUCUGGUUGAGUACCGAUACUCAUAUCAGAUCCUUUGUGGACUAUCAAGUCCUUUGUUGGAUUGUUAUCCGACAGUGUCCUUCACAUUUGAACACUUUGUGAGUUCUUCCCCUUAUACAUGAUGCCCUUGUUAAGUUGUAUCCUCUGCUUGGCCAACCAUGCUCUGCUUUCGGGCUUGUGUUAUUUACUCUGGAAACUUGUGGUAUAUGUUUCUAACAAGCCCCUAUGGGUUGAACAUAUGCCUUCUCUAAACCGCGUGAACCCGAAAGUUUUCACGAGUCAUACUUAUCUGGUAUUGCACCAGGUAAAACUUUCAACAACUAAUGUCAUCUUCGAAAUACGAGAGGUGAAUGGAAGAUUAUGCAUUGAGGAAGUGGGAGUCGACCUUGAACUUUGUGUUCAUGCCCAUGGACGCGAUAUAUAUCCUAUCAUGAAAGCUUCUUGUAACAAUAACUAUUUCCUUGAUAACUAACCUAUGGUAUCUGUGAAUUGAUCCCUUGCAACCGUGGUUCCGACCAUGAUUGUUCUUCUUUGAUUCCAUUUCUCGGACAAGUUAAAACAAUUGUCUUCUAUGGAUCAAUACACCAGUCCAACCUUUACUUUGAUCUUGUGUCGAGUAUUACCCCCCUGGUAUCUCGAGAUUAUCAUGGAACUGCAUAACUCCUUAUGAGUUCUUCAUCAAGUGCUACCUUCCCACUGAUUCCAAUUUUUCGCGGGCUCUGAGUUAUUGAACACCCAAAGACACCGAUAACUGAACCGAGUCCGCACUACGGUUCAACAACUCUUCGGUAAGCUUCUAUAAGUACGAGUUUGUACCCGAUCACGCCAUUCCUAGCCUGUUUGGCUAUAUCAUUGUCGUGACGAUUCUAACGGUGCUACCUGGUCCUUAUUCUCGGAACACCAAUUUUCGACGAUGAACUAACCUUACGUCGAUUUUUCCUCGUCAUACCCUUUCACCUUAAACAACAAGCUUGAGUUCGAGUUUGUGUCGUAACUGUGGUUCCAAUAACCUCUUGCUUCAUCAUUCCUUUGACUUGAUGUCGUCGCUGAUUGACUACAUCUGCAUGAAAUCUCUCGACAAUUGUGUCGUGAUCAUCAUCAACCUUAUGAGCUCUUCCAGGAAUUCAAUUGAAUUCAUGAUGCGUAAUACCAUCCUUGCCCCUCGAUGAUUCCUGUUCUCAUCGACCACUUCAUUGCCUUCCGUUCAACACAACUUGUUCGCGUUUUGUGUAAACCUUGAGAUCACUGCUACCCAGCAGUUGAUCUUCCUUACCUCGGAAGUAUUACCAUCACUUUUUGUCAAGAAUGUGGUGAGAAUUUCACCACCUCUUAAUAAUUCUUGAUAUCUUAAUACUUCUUGCCAUCUUCGUUCAUUCCUUGGUCCCCGUAUUGUUUUCAACCAGAAUACCGACAAUGGAGCUAUGACGUGUGAAUUCAAAACUUCUAGCAACCCUAUUGCUUUGAAGUGAAUGGGCGAUAGUUCAUUCUAAGUCCUUCGCUAACUGAAUCACCAUUCUGACAUUGGUCGUGCAACCCAACCCAUAUUUCGGGCGCACCUUUCAACCAAUGUUUAGUUGUGUAUGUUUUCCUCGAGCAUACUUCCUUAUAUCAUUUGAGCUGACAAAUGUUAUCUCCUUGUUCACUUAAUGGUGGAAAUCCAUCUUUUGGGAAUCUCGGUGAAUUGCCGUUGAGUUCACCAGACACCUCCUUGUCCUCUCCUUGGGUUAAUGAUGGACUCUUGUUAACGGAAAUCACUUCAUAGUUCAUUUCCCCGAGAAUCUUACAAUGUCAUCUCGUCAAUUUGCGUUGCACCUUUUCUUCUCAGGUAUCCUAAGUCUGAGGUAUCCUGACACCAAUCGGAUCUGAAUCUCGGUCAGAUAUGAUGGUUGGGACAACUUUCCAGGAGUUAUGUUGUUUGUCCUUUGAUAACCCGGUAACAUGAUGUCAUGCCUAGCACCCCCUGGCUGGAGGACCUAUCAUUAUGAUUUCUUUUGCAAGGAUAACCAUUCCUCCUGGAGGAAGGGGUAGGACUUAUUUUAUAAGUUACUCCUGAUGGAUCAUUGGUGUAUCCGAAGUCGGGCGCUUGAUUGAAACACCAUAUCAUUGCUACCUGAAGCAUGUCUGUGGUACUCCGUUCAUCACCAAGAACAUUUUAAGCACAAUGCUAAAUUUCUCUUUAUCAAUUAUCCAAACACCGUUGUAUGGGUAAUGUCAUGAAAUUUUUCUUCCCUUACCUAAAAUGGUUUUCUACCUACUAUCCUGUCAUGGAUAUCAUCUGCUUGUCCUUGGGAAGGAUAUACCCCUGGAAAAUGUGUUUAAACACAUUUUUCCUUUCCAUUGAUCUGGUUAAAUCCGAUAAUCAUAUCUUCCUUUCCAUUGUUUGGUUUAACCUUUCUUGUGAUCUAUGAGAUCUAAGCAGUAAUAUUCUCCUACUUUUGUAAACACCUCGGUGUACAAUUCUGUCAGUAAGACCCUGUUACUUUGUUGAUGACAUUCCGGUAACCACCGAUGGACGAGAACUUUGCCUAAUGGUCCACCUCGUUCAACGAGCAGGAAAAUGGUUCUCUUCGUCCCUCGCCCUUGGUACCGACGUUGUUACCGACAUAACUGACAGGUUAUUCUCUGGCAUGCCUUGCUAUCAUAACCGUGCAAGAUGUCACCGCUCUUUCAACGUUUAACCCACAUGGUGGGCCCAUAACCCACAGUUCCACAGGAUCAAAACCUGACUCUCCUGUACAGCCCUGUUACUAAUGGUUAUUUCCCACGCUUGGCUUCAUAUUUAAUUCACGGGCCACCUUCCUAAUGCUCUAUUCUGGUAUCAGACGCAAUACUUACUCUCGUUGCUCUGAAACCCUUUCUCACUCCGGUUCAGACUUCGAGAAACUAUCUAUCCGCUUGGAACCUCUUAUUGUACCUUCGUACCUUACCCUCAACAUAUUUUAUUGGUUCAACUCAAGAGAUACUCUUAUGCUCAUUCAUGGGUUAACCCCAGAUUGUCUCUCUCAUAAGCAUUCUGUCGUAGCCGAGCUGCCCCUUACCCAUUCGUAAGUACGUUGGAGUUCCCGAAGAAAAGGACGACCUCACCAUGAUGACCUGAAGCACAGAAAUAAAGACGUCAAUGUAACGGAUCGACCUCUUCGAGAAGAGCAACUAUGACCGAGAAGAAUCGUUAGAGUUUCGAAACCAGAUCCCUUCCCCCUUAUAACCGCUCCUAAAUCUCGGGACGAGAUUUCUUGUAGUGGAGGAGAAUUGUGACGCCCGGAUAAUUAGGCUACAAUAAUCCCGCGUUAACGAUGCCACGUCACCUCGGUUACUGUUGAUAAACUCGAGUUAGUUCAAAAACGAUUCAAGUUAAAAUUUAAAAUAUAGGCAAACAAUAAAAUUUUCAAAUAUUAAAACUAAAAUGUUUGGGUUGUGUCAAAUAAAUCGUAAGUAAUUAUGGUGGAGAAACCAAACUUUGUUAUAAAGUUUAAAGGCUCUAAAUUAAUUAAAAAAAUGGCUAAAAAUAAAUAUUUAAAUGCCUUCUAAAUUUAUAGAAGUGCAAAAUAUUUCAUUUGGGUACCGAACUUUUUGUGACCGUGUCUCAUUUUGCCACUCUAAAUAUGGAGCCAGUUUAAUAUUUUGUAAAACUAUUUUACUAACAAAAAUAAAAGAAAACAGUACAUGAAAAAUAUAUAAAAGGAAGAGGUAUAAACAAAAACAAAACAACAAAAGAAAAGGAAGAAACACCCCCCCCACCCUGGGCCUCAGCCCAGCUGGCCAUCCAACCGGACCGGCCCACCUAACCCCCCCAUAAACCCCCACCGACGGAAACCCUAGCCCGGUCCACCCCCACUGCUCCCGCACGAUCCCCACUCCUCCCCCACGUCUCUCUCCCCCUCGUCUCGAUCUAGAUCGGGGCCGCGCCCGAUCCCGACGCAGGCGCCCAUCCCCGACCGCGNNNNNNNNNNNNNNNNNNNNNNNNNNNNNNNNNNNNNNNNNNNNNNNNNNNNNNNNNNNNNNNNNNNNNNNNNNNNNNNNNNNNNNNNNNNNNNNNNNNNNNNNNNNNNNNNNNNNNNNNNNNNNNNNNNNNNNNNNNNNNNNNNNNNNNNNNNNNNNNNNNNNNNNNNNNNNNNNNNNNNNNNNNNNNNNNNNNNNNNNNNNNNNNNNNNNNNNNNNNNNNNNNNNNNNNNNNNNNNNNNNNNNNNNNNNNNNNNNNNNNNNNNNNNNNNNNNNNNNNNNNNNNNNNNNNNNNNNNNNNNNNNNNNNNNNNNNNNNNNNNNNNNNNNNNNNNNNNNNNNNNNNNNNNNNNNNNNNNNNNNNNNNNNNNNNNNNNNNNNNNNNNNNNNNNNNNNNNNNNNNNNNNNNNNNNNNNNNNNNNNNNNNNNNNNNNNNNNNNNNNNNNNNNNNNNNNNNNNNNNNNNNNNNNNNNNNNNNNNNNNNNNNNNNNNNNNNNNNNNNNNNNNNNNNNNNNNNNNNNNNNNNNNNNNNNNNNNNNNNNNNNNNNNNNNNNNNNNNNNNNNNNNNNNNNNNNNNNNNNNNNNNNNNNNNNNNNNNNNNNNNNNNNNNNNNNNNNNNNNNNNNNNNNNNNNNNNNNNNNNNNNNNNNNNNNNNNNNNNNNNNNNNNNNNNNNNNNNNNNNNNNNNNNNNNNNNNNNNNNNNNNNNNNNNNNNNNNNNNNNNNNNNNNNNNNNNNNNNNNNNNNNNNNNNNNNNNNNNNNNNNNNNNNNNNNNNNNNNNNNNNNNNNNNNNNNNNNNNNNNNNNNNNNNNNNNNNNNNNNNNNNNNNNNNNNNNNNNNNNNNNNNNNNNNNNNNNNNNNNNNNNNNNNNNNNNNNNNNNNNNNNNNNNNNGUGUGCGCCCGCAGGCGCCACCCCCCUCUCGCGCCUGCCCUUGCUGGCGCCGCCCGCGGCAGCCAACCGCCGGCGCCCAGCCAACCGCGGCCCCUGCUACCUUCGCCGCAGCCGGCGCCCUCCCCUGUCCGGCGCCCGGUUGGGUUCGGCCACGUCCUGGCGCCCCGCACCCGAUCCAUCGCCCGCGCCCGUUUGGCCCUAUGGGCAACUGCCCAGUGGGCCCCCCCUCACACCCCUGUUAAAAAAAAAGAUAAAAAAAAGAAGAAUAAUUAAUUAAUUAAUUAAUUAAUUAACUUAAUUAAUGUUGCUUAAUUAACCAAUUAACUAUCUAAUUAGCCUAAGUAAACAUGUUAGUUAACUAGACAGUCAAUGACAGGGGGCCCCACCCCUGUUGACCAGUCAAAGUUUGACUGGUCAAAUGGGUUCCCCUGGUCCCACUUGUCAGCCUGUGUACAAUUUUUGUGUACACUGUGCUGGGUACAUCUAGCAAUUUAACAUUAAUUUCGAAUUAAAAUAAAUUAGAAAAUGAAUUAAAACUUUGAAAAUUAAUAUAAAAUAAUUCGUAACUCGGAUGGAAAAACUUUGUACAUGAAAGUUGCUCAGAACGACGAGACGAUUCCGGAUACGCAGCCCGUUCGUCCGCCACGCGUCCCUAGCAUAGUGAACCUGCAACAUUUCAUCUCCGGCUCCUCUGCCCGAAAACAUGGAACACCGGGAAUACUUUCCCGGAUGUUUUGCCCCUUCGCCGACAUCACCUCAUACUGCGUUAGGACACACCUAGCACCGCUCAUUGUCACGUCACGCAUCGUCGUGUUUAUGUUUGCAUUUAUUCAUUGUUUCUUCCCCCUCUUAUCUCCGGUAGACUACGAGACCGACGCUGCUGCUGCCCAGUUCGACUACGGAGUUGACGACCCCUCUCUCUUGCCAGAGCAACCAGGCAAGCCCCCCCUUGAUCACCAGAUAUCGCCUAUUCUCCUCUAUACUGCUUGCAUUAGAGUAGUGCAGCAUGUUACUGCUUUCGUUAAUCCUAUUCUGAUGCAUAGCCUGACAUUGUUGCUACAUCUGUUGAUACCUUACCUGCAAUCCUAAAUACUUAGUAUAGGAUGCUAGUUUAUCAUUAUUGGCCCUACAUUCUUGUCGGUCUGCCAUGCUAUACUACUGGGCUGUGAUCACUUCGGGAGGUGAUCACGGGCAUAUACUAUAUACUUUACACUGUUACAUUACCUGUGAUACUGUUCGGAGAUGGGGGGCUGAAAGGACAGGUGGCUCCAUCCCGGUAGAGGUGGGCCUGGGUUCCCGACGGCCCCCGACUGUUACUUUGUGGCGGAGCGGCAGGGCAGGUUGAGACCACCUAGGAGACAGGUGGGCCUGGCCCUGUUCGGCGUUCGCGGAUACUUAACACGCUUAACGAGAUCUUGGUAUUUGAUCUGAGUUGGCUACGAGCCUAUACGCACUAACCAUCUACGUGGGAGUAGUUAUGGGUAUCCCGGCGUCGUGGUAUCAGCCGAAGCACUUUAGACGUCAGCGACGGAGCGGCGCGCGCCGAAUUGGACUGGAACGCCACUAGGCUAGGUCUGCUUUCGGCCGCCCUCGCAACGUGCAGGUGUGCUAUGGGCGAUGGGCCCAGACCCCUGUGCGCUUAGGUUUAGACCGGCGUGCUGGCCUCUCUGUUUUGCCUAGGUGGGGCUGCGACGUGUUGAUCUUCCGCGGCCGGGCAUGACCCAGGAAAGUGUGUCCGGCCAAAUGGGAUCAAGCGUGUUGGGCUAUGUGGUGCACCCCUGCAGGGAAGUUAAUCUAUUCGAAUAGCCGUGAUCUUCGGUAACAGGACGACUUGGAGUUGUACCUUGACCUUAUGACAACUAGAACCGGAUACUUAAUAAAACACACCCUUCCAAGUGCCAGAUACAACCCGGUGAUCGCUCUCUAACAGGGCGACGAGGAGAGGAUCGCCGGGUAGGAUUAUGCUAUGCGAUGCUACUGGAGAUGCUACUCGGAGAUUCUACUUGGAGAUGUUACUUGGCGAUGCUACUUGGAGGACUUCAGUCUACUCUCUUCUACAUGCUGCAAGACGGUGGCGGCGAGAAGCGUAGUCUUCGACAUGAUUAGUUAUCCCCCUCUUAUUCUGGCAUUCUGCAGUUCAGUCCACUGAUAUGGCAUCCUUACACAUAUACCCAUGCAUAUGUAGUAUAGUUCCUUGCUUGCGAGUACUUUGGAUGAGUACUCACGGUUGCUUUCUCCCCCCUUUUCCCCCCUUUCCCUUCUACCUGGUUGGCGCAACCAGAUGCUGGAGCCCAGGAGCCAGACGCCACCGUCGACGACUACUACUACACUGGAGGUGCCUGCUACUACGUGCAGGCUGCUGACGACGACCAGGAGUAGUUAGGAGGAUCCCAGGCAGGAGGCCUGCGCCUCUUUCGAUCUGUAUCCCAGUUUGUGCUAGCCUUCUUAAGGCAAACUUGUUUAACUUAUGUCUGUACUCAGAUAUUGUUGCUUCCGCUGACUCGUCUAUGAUCGAGCACUUGUAUUCGAGCCCUCGAGGCCCCUGGCUUGUAUUAUGAUGCUUGUAUGACUUAUUUAUGUUUUAGAGUUGUGUUGUGAUAUCUUCCCGUGAGUCCCUGAUCUUGAUCGUACACAUUUGCGUGCAUGAUUAGUGUACGAUUGAAUCGGGGGCGUCACACUACAGUUUACAGAUUUUCUCAAGCAGAUGCGCUCAUAGGUAUUGCCUAUGUGUCCAUGUUGUUACUUGCUGCUGCCUAUAGGUCUAUUGACUAUUGUUACACGUUCUUGCGCUACUUUGCAGAGAAAAAAACGCUGGGGGCACGAUGUCAAUGCGUGGAACAGAUGGUGAUCUGGAUGUCGUCGACGUUGUAGUUGCGGACGGCCUGGAGUCGAAGAAGGCCAAGUGGGGUGGUGAAUCCAAAUUCAAGACUGUUGUAUUAUAGUGGUAGAGAUAUUGGUAUACACAGAACACGACACUGCAAUGAUAAGUACUAAUUCUGUAGUUUUGUUGCAUAAAAAGAAUUGAACAAUCCGGUGAUCCAAGUAUAUAGGUAGAGGUUUUAUACAUAACUUAAGAAAUAUAGCAUAGUAACAUAUAGUGUAUCUUUUUCAGUCACACAGGUAACUGAAAAUACAAGAGUAGACAGAUCUAAUGAAGCUCUCCUCCAGCUGAUUUUUCAAUAGGUUGCCAAAAGAGUUUAGCCUCCGUGGCAUGUGCUUGUGACGAGACAAAAGAAGGAACAUGGUGGAAGAAGAACAAACCUGACCACACGAACGGAGAAGAAGAAGCAACCCAUCGCCAUAGACAGAACGAAACCGCCGGCGAUCGAGAGCGCGUCCUCCAUGAGCGGGAGGAACACGACGUGUGUUGCUCAUCCGGGGCGCCUCCUUCUGGGUAGUGUUUUGGGCCUGCACCUCCGGCACCACCCCUCCACCGGAUUGGAGCACCGGCGCUUCGAUCCACAUCAUCGUGUUGUAGGGCGACCUAGGGAUCUUCCUGGGGUCACUGCCCUUGGGGGUGAAGAGCCGAGACCUAUUCUGCACAGCUCCAAAAGUUCUGAAACUUCACGGAAGUUAAUUUUGGAAUUAAUAAAAAAUACUGGCGAAAGAAUCCAUCAGAGGGGGCCCACAUCCUGGCCACGAGGGUGGGGGCGUGCCCUACCCCCUGGGCGUGCCUCCUGCCUCGUGGCCCCCCUGGCAGGCCUCCGGUGCCCCUCUUAUGCUAUAUGAAGUCUUUCGUCCAAGAAAAAAAAUCAUAAGCAAGCUUUCGGGAAGAAACUCUGCCGCCACGAGGCGGAACCUUGGCGGAACCAAUCUAGGGCUCCGGCAGAGCUGUUCUGCCGGGGAAACUUCCCUCCGGGAGGGGGAAAUCAUCACCAUCGUCACCACCAACAAUCCUCUCACCGGGAGGGGGUCAACCUUCAUCAACAUCUUCACCAGCACCAUCUCCUCUCAAACCCUAGUUCAUCUCUUGUAUCCAAUCUUUGUAUCCAAACCUCAGAUUGGUACCUGUAGGUUGCUAGUAGUGUUGAUUACUCUUUGUAGUUGAUGCUAGUUGGUUUACUUGGUGGAAGACCAUAUGUUCAGAUCCAUUAUGCAUAUUAAUACCCCUCUGAUUAUGAACAUGAAUAUGAUUUGUGAGUAGUUACGCUUGUUCCUGAGGACAUGGGAGAAGUCUUGCUAUAAGUAGUCAUGUGAAUUUGGUAUUCGUUCGAUAUUUUGAUGAGAUGUAUGUUGUCUAUCCUCUAGUGGUGUUAUGUGAACGUCGACUAUAUGACACUUCACCAUUGUUUGGGCCUAGAGGAAGGCAUUGGGAAGUAAUAGGUAGAUGAUGGGUUGCUAGAGUGAUAGAAGCUUAAACCCUAGUUUAUAUGUUGCUUCAUAAGGGGCUGAUUUGGAUCCAUAUGUCUCAUGCUAUGGUUAGGUUUACCUUAAUACUUCCUUUGUAGUUGCGGAUGCUUGCAAUAGGAGUUAAUCAUAAGUGGGAUGCUUGCUCAAGUAAGGAAAGAACCCAAGCACCGGUCCACCCACAUAUCAAAUUAUCAAAGUAUCAAACGCGAAUCAUAUGAACGUGAUGAAAACUAGCUUGACGAUGAUUCCCAUGUGUCCUCGGGAGCGCUUUUCUCUAUAUAAGAGUUUGUCCAGGCUUGUCCUUCGCUACAAAAAGGAUUGGGCCAUCUUGCUGCACUUUAUUUACACUUGUUACUUGCUACCCGCUACAAAUUACCUUAUCACGAAACUAUCUGUUACCUACAAUUUCAGUGCUUGUAGAGAAUACCUUAUUGAAAAUCGCUUGUCAUUCUCUUCUGCUCCUCGUUGGGUUCGACACUCUUACUUAUCGAAAGGACUAUGAUAGAUCCCCUACACUUGUGGGUCAUCAAGACUCUUUUCUGGCACCGUUGCCGGGGAGUGAAGCGCCUUUGGUAAGUGGAAUUUGGUAAGGAAAAAUUUAUAUAGUGUGCUGAAAUUUAUUGUCACUUGCUACUAUGGAAAGUAAUCCUUUGAGGGGCUUGUUCGGGGUAUCUUCACCCCGACCAGUAGAGAAAAUAGUUGCUCCUCAACCUACUGAACCUACUGAAAAUGUUUACUUUGAAAUUCCUUCGGGUAUGAUAGAGAAACUGCUGGCUAAUCCUUUCACAGGUGAUGGAACAUUGCAUCCUGAUUUACACUUAAUCUAUGUGGAUGAAGUUUGUGGAUUAUUUAAACUUGUAGGUAUGCCUGAUGAUGUUAUCAAGAAGAAGGUCUUCCCUUUAUCUUUGAAGGGAUAUGCAUUGACAUGGUAUAGGCUAUGUGAUGAUAUGGGAUCAUGGAACUACAAACGUUUGAAAUUGGAAUUUCAUCAGAAGUUUUAUCCUAUGCAUCUUGUUCAUCGUGAUCGUAAUUAUAUAUAUAAUUUUUGGCAUCUCGAAGGAGAAAGCAUCGUUCAAGCUUGGGGGAGGCUUAAUUCAAUGUUAUAUUCAUGCCCCAAUCAUGAGCUCUCAAGAGAAAUGAUUAUUCAGAAUUUUUAUACUCGGCUUUCUUGUAAUAAUCAAUCCAUGCUCGAUACUUCUUGUACUGGCUCCUUUAUGAUGAAGACUAUUGAAUUCAAAUGGGAUUUAUUGAAAAUAAUUAAAUGCAACUCUGAAGAUUGGGACCUCGAUGAGUCAGGUAUAACACGUAAGUUUGAUUGUGUUAAUUCUUUUAUGGAUACCGAUGUUUUCCAUGAAUUUAGCACAAAAUAUGCACUUGACUCUGAGAUAAUAGCUUCUUUCUGUGAAUCCUUUGCUACUCAUGUUGAUCUCCCUAAGGAGAAGUGGUUUAAAUAUAAUCCUCCCAUUGAAGUAAAAGUAGUUGCACUAUUAAAGUUGAAAAAAGGACUGUCACUUAUAAUGAUCCUAUUGUUCCUACUGCUUAUGUUGAGAAACCACAUUUCCCUGUUAGAAUAAAGGAUCAUGCUAAAGCUUCAACUGUAGUCAAAAAAAGUAAUAUUAGGACAUACAAACCCCCUGAGCAAGUUAAAGUUGAACCUAAUAUUGCUAUGGUUAAAGAUCUCUUGGCUGAUAAUAUUGAUGGGCAUGUUAUUUACUUCUGUGAUGAGACUGCUAGAAUUGCUAAACCCGGUGCUAAAGAUAAACAUAGACCUGUGGUAGGCAUGCCUGUUAUUUCUGUUAAAAUAGGAGAUCAUUGUUAUCAUGGCUUAUGUGAUAUGGGUGCUAGUGCUAGUGCAAUACCUCAUUCUUUAUACAAAGAAAUUAUGCAUGAUAUUGCACCUGCUGAGAUAGAAGAAAUUGAUGUGACAAUUAAGCUUGCCAAUAGAGAUAAUAUAUCACUGAUAGGGAUUGUUAGAGAUGUUGAAGUCUUGUGUGGGAAGGUUAAAUAUCCUGCUGAUUUUCUUGUUCUUGGUUCCCCACAAGAUAGCUUUUGUCCCAUUAUAUUUGGUAGACCCUUCUUGAACACUGUUAAUGCUAGGAUAGACUAUGAAAAGGAUAUUGUUACUAUUGGUUUGGGUGAUAUGUCUCAUGAGUUUAAUUUUGCUAAAUUUCGUAGACAACCCCGUGAUGAGGAAUUGCCUAGUAAAGAUGAAAUUAUUGGUCUUGCUUCUAUUGUUGUGCCUCCUAAUGAUCCUUUAGAACAAUAUUUGCUUGACCAUGAAAAUGCUAUGUUUAUGAAUGAAAGAAGGGAAAUAGAUGAAGUAUUCUUUAAACAGGGACCCAUUCUGAAACACAACUUGCAUGUUGAAAUCCUAGGGGAUCCUCCUCCACCCAAGGGUGAUCCCGUGUUUGAGCUUAAACCAUUACCUGAUACUCUUAAAUAUGCUUAUCUUUAUGAAAAGAAGAUAUAUCCUGUUAUUAUUAGUGCUAACCUUUCAGAGAAAGAGGAAGAGAAAUUAUUGAAAACUCUGAAGAAGAACUGUGCUGCUAUUGGAUACACUCUUGAUGAUCUAAAGGGCAUUAGUCCCACUCUAUGUCAACACAAAAUAAAUUUGGAGAAAGACGCAAACCAGUUAUUAAUCACCAACGACGGUUAAAUCCUAAGAUGAAAGAAGUGGUAAGAAAGGAAAUACUAAAGCUCCUUGAGGCAGGUAUAAUUUAUCCUGUUGCUGAUAGUCAGUGGGUAAGCCCUAUCCAUUGUGUCCCUAAGAAGGGAGGUAUUACUGUCGUUCCUAAUGAUAAGAUGAACUGAUCCCACAAAGAAUUAUUACAGGUUAUAGGAUAGUAAUUGAUUUACACAAAUUAAAUAAAGCUACUAAAAAUUAUCAUUACCCUUUGCCUUUUAUUGAUCAAAUGCUAGAAAGAUUAUCCAAACAUACACAUUUCUGCUUUCUAGAUGGUUACUCUGGUUUCUCUCGAAUACCCGUGUCAGCUGAGGAUCAAGAAAAGACCACUUUACUUGCCCUUUCGGUACUUUUGCUUAUAGACGUAUGCCUCUUGGUUUAUGUAAUGCACCUGCUACCUUUCAUAGAUGCAUGACGGCUAUAUUCUCUGACUUUUGUGAAAAGAUUUGUGAGGUUUUCAUGGACGAUUUCUCCAUUUAUGGAUCCUCUUUUGAUGAUUGCUUGAGCAACCUCGCUCGAGUUUUGCAGAGAUGUGAAGAAACUAAUCUUGUCUUGAACUGGGAGAAGUGCCACUUUAUGGUUAAUGAAGGUAUUUUCUUGGGGAAUAAAAUUUAUGAAAGAGGUAUUGAAGUUGAUAAGGCUAAGGUUGAUGCUAUUGAAAAGAUGUCGUGUCCCAAGGACAUCAAAGGUAUAAGAAGUUUCCUUGGUCAUGCCGGUUUUUAUAGGAGGUUCAUUAAGGACUUCUCAAAAAAUUCUCGGCCUCUGACUAAUCUAUUACAAAAAUAUAUACCUUUUGUCUUUGAUGAUGAUUGUGUAUAAGCAUUUGAAUUACUUAAGAAAGCUUUGAUUUCUGCACCUAACGUUCAGCCACCUGAUUGGAAUUUACCCUUCGAAAUUAUGUGUGAUGCUAGUGAUUAUGCUGUAGGUGCUAUUCUAGGACAAAGAGUUGAUAAGAAAUUAAAUGUUAUUCAAUAUGCCAGUAAAACUCUAGAUAGUGCCCAGAGAAAUUAUGCUACUACUGAAAAAUAAUUCUUAGCAGUUGUAUUUGCUUGUGAUAAGUUCAGACCUUAUAUUGUUGAUUCUAAAGUUACUAUUCACACUGAUCAUGCUCCUAUUAAAUAUCUUGUGGAAAAGAAAGAUGCUAAACCUAGACUUAUUAGAUGGGUUCUCUUGCUACAAGAAUUUGAUUUGCAUAUUAUUGAUAGAAAGGGAGUUGAGAACCCCAUUGCAGACAACUUGUCUAGGUUAGAGAAUGUUCUUGAUGACCCACUACCUAUUGAUGAUAGCUUUCCUGAUGAACAAUUAGCUGUCACAAAUGCUUCUCGUGCUGCUCCAUGGUAUGCUGAUUAUGCUAAUUACAUUGUUGCUAAAUUUAUACCACCUAGUUUCACAUACCAACAAAAGAAAAAAGUUUUUCUAUGAUUUAAGACAUUACUUCUGGGAUGACCCACAUCUUUAUAAAGAAGGAGUAGAUGGUGUUAUUAGACAUUGUAUACCUGAGCAUGAACGGGAACAGAUCCUACGCAAGUGUCACUCCGAGGCUUAUGGAGGACACCACGCUGGAGAUAGAACUUCACAUAAGGUAUUGCAAUCCAGUUUUUAUUGGCCUACUCUCUUCAAGGAUGCUCAUAAGUUUGUCUUGUCUUGUGAUGAAUGUCAAAGAAUUGGUAAUAUUAGUAGACGUCAAGAAAUUCUUAUGAAUUAUUCACUUGUUAUCGAACCAUUUGAUGUUUGGGGCUUUGAUUAUAUGGGACCGUUUCCUUCCUCUAAUGGGUUACACAUAUUUUAGUUGCUGUUGAUUACGUUACUAAGUGGGUAGAAGCUAUUCCAACUAGUAGUGCUGAUCAUAACACCUCUAUUAAGAUGCUUAAAGAAGUUAUUUUUCCGAGGUUUGGAGUCCCUAGAUAUUUAAUGACUGAUGGUGGUUCACAUUUUAUUCAUGGCGCUUUUCGUAGAAUGCUUGCUAAGUAUGAUGUUAAUCAUAGAAUCGCAUCUCCUUAUCACCCACAGUCUAGCGAUCAAGUAGAAUUGAGUAAUAGGGAUCUCAAAUUAAUUUUGCAAAAGACUAUUAAUAGAUCUAGAAAGAAUUGGUCCAAGAAACUUGAUGAUGCAUUAUGUAGAACUGCAUAUAAAAAUCCUAUGGGUAUGUCUCCGUACAAAAUGGUUUACGGAAAAGCAUGUCACUUACCUCUUGAACUAGAACAUAAGGCAUAUUGGGCUAUUAAAGAGCUCAAUUAUGAUUUUAAACUUGCCGGUGAGAAGAGGCUAUUUGAGCUCACUUGAUGAAUGGAGAACCCAAGCUUAUGAGAAUGCCAAACUGUUUAAAGAAAAAAAUUAAAAGAUGGCAUGACAAAAGGAUACAAAAGCGUGAGUUUAAUGUAGGUGAUUAUGCGUUGCUAUUCAACUCUCGUUUAAGAUUUUUUUCAGGAAAAAUUCUCUCUAAAUGGGAAGGCCCUUACGUUAUCGAGGAGGUCAAUCGUUCUGGUGCCAUAAAAACCAACAACUUCGAAGGCACGAAUCCGAAGGUGGUAAACGGUCAAAGAAUCAAACAUUAUAUCUCAGGUAAUCUGAUAAAUGUUGAAACUAAUAUUAUUGAAACCGUAACCCCGGAGGAAUACAUAAGGGACACUUUCCAGAACGUUUUAGACUCCGAAAAGGAAUAGGUAUGUGGUACGGUAAGUAAACCGACUCCAAAACAGUUCUAAUAGCAAUUUUUCUCUGUUUUGGAUUAUUUAAGAAAAUAGGAAAAUAAGAAGCAGUCCGGGAAGGACACGAGGCUUCCACGAGGGUGGGAGGCGCGCCCUACCCCCCUAGGCGCGCCCCCUGCCUCGUGGGAACCUCGUGCACUCUGCGGUCUCCGUUUGCUUGCACGAUACUUCUUUUGGUCGGUAAAAAUUCAUUAUAUAAUCUCCCGAAGGUUUUGACUCUCGUAUCACGCAAAUAUCCUCUGUUUUUGUUUUGAGCUGUUUUCUGCCACAGUUGUCAAGGCCAGGCAUCAUGUCAUCUCCCUCCUCCAACGAUGAGGGUAAAGAUGCUUGGCUAACGAAGAUAGAGCUAAAGAGAGAAGAACCCAGGGAGAUCAACAAGGAUGAUGGGAUCAAGAAAGCCAUAGAGGAUCAAGCUCCAGCAGUAGAAGAAGAAGAAGACAUCCUUCCACCUCAUCAAAAUCUUCUUACCCCAACUGAGAUUGAAGCUUUCAAGAUGAUUGAGUUAGCUCGUAUACAAACCAAGUAUCUCACACGUGAAAUAUUUUGUUGAAGGAGCAUAUCGUCGCACUCAAGGGCAUUAUCCGCAAGUCGGAGGAUCUCUUACGCUCGAUGUGCGACUAUCCAUCAUCACCACCAUCUUCUCCACCAGCAAAGAAGAACUGAGUACAUGGGUAUGGGCACUCCCCUUGGCAACUGCCAAGCUUGGGGGAGGUGCCCCGGUAUCGUAUCACCAUCACACUCCUAUCUUUACCGUUUUUCCUAGUUCGAUCCUUUUGGUAAUAUCUUGAUCUAGUAGAAUAAAGUUUUAGUAUGAUAUGGUUGUGAGUUUUGCUUUAUGAUCCCUCUAUGUAAUCGAGUCCGUGAGUUAUAUAGUAAAGAUCAGUGUUGAGUCAAGGGCUUGAUUAUCUUGCUAUGAUCUUUAGUGAAUAAAAGAAAGAGAAAGAAUAAAAAGAAAUAAAGAGAUCAUAUUGAUCUUAUGGAGAGUAAUGACUUCACAUAUAGAGAGUAUGAUGAUUAAAAGUUGUUGAGAGUUGACAAACAUAGUUUUGGUCAUCGUUGCAAUUAAUAGGAAGUAAUAAAGAAAGAGAGGUUUCACAUAUAAAUAUACUAUCUUGGACAUCUUUUAUGAUUGUGAGCACUCAUUAAAAUAUGACACGCUAAAGAGUUGACGUUGGACAAGGAAGACAACGUAAUGGGUUAUGUUUUCUUAUAUCUGAAAUAAAGUAUAUUGUCAUGGAUCAUCCAACAUGUUGAGCUUGCCUUUCUCCCUCAUGCUAGCCAAUUCUUUGCACCAAGUAGAGAUACUACUUGUGCUUCCAAAUACCCUUAAACCCAGUUUUGCCAUGAGAGUCCACCAUACCUACCUAUGGAUUGAGUAAGAUCCUUCAAGUAAGUUGUCAUCAUUGCAUGCAAUAAAAAUUGCUUUCUAAAUAUGUAUGACUUAUUAGUGUGGAGAAAAUAAGAUUUAAACGAUCUUGUGAUGUGGAAGAAAUAAAAGCGACAGACUGCAUACACUACAAAAAAAUACACUUCCGUGAUGAUACGUGUUUGUCACAGUAGGUCGCGUUUUUUGUCAUGCAUGUACAUCCAUGACGAUUUUAUGACAGAAUCAAGAUAGUCAUAUCUGUGCUGUCGUAGAAGUGUUCCAUGACAUUACCAAAAUUAUCAUCACGGAAGUGUGCUCUUCCAUGACAAUAAAUCGCGCAUCACAGAAGUGCUUUCGUCAAGGGUGACCGACACGUGGCAUCCACCGUAAUGGAACGCCGUUAAGCUAUCGGGUUGGGUUUUGGAUCCGAUAACCCGUUAACAGCCCCGACCAAUGGGGAUUUUCCACGUGUAAAAUCAUCAUUGGCUGGAGGAAACACGUGUCGGCUCAUCGUUGGGACAGAUGUCAUCCACUCAUUGGACAGAAGGCGCCUAUGAUACGUCGACACGUGGCACGGCCCAACAGAGGCCCAUUCCUGUGAAAAGGCCGGCCCGUUUGACUUGGUCAAAAGGUGGCGGGCCGGCCCAUGGAAAGCCUGUUAACGGCAUGUUCGCAUUUAGUCCAUUUACAGCCCGCUAACCCAAGGCCCGUUACGCCCUAUCCGAAUUAGGCCCAGUAGCGUCAUCUGGGCCAUCUAAUAUGAUUCCAGCCCGUUUUCACUUCUGGCCCAUGACGUCUUUCAGCCCAUAUGAGGCCCUAUGUAACUCUUGGCCUAUUAACGGCCCGUGGUAAAACUGGCCCGUAAUGAACAGUGUAUCACUUUACACCCAUUAACGGCCCGUGGUGAAACUGGCCCGUAAUGAACAGUGUAUCACUUUAUACCCAUUAACAGCCCGUUAUUCCGUUGGGCCGUUUCCAGCCCAUGUUAUCUUUCGGCCUUCUCAGAGCCCAUUUAUUCUUGGGCUCAUUUCCAGCAUUCGUUUACUUAUGGCCCGUUACUGUCAUUUUCUGCUUGUGGGCCAAAUUCAGCCCGUGGUUACAGUCGGCCCAUUUGUGGCCCGUUAAUACGUUGGGCCAUUUUCAUAGCGUCAUCAAAUACGGCCUAUUAACGAUGACCCAUUAUGGUCGGCCCAUGAACGGACGAUUCCAACUCUAGCCCGUUUACGGCCAUAAUGCGGCCUGUUAUUGGCCCAUGUUUGGCCAAUCGAUCAUACGGCCCGUAUAAGGCCCAUUGAUGAUACGACCCAUAGAAGGCCCAUUGUUUCUAUGGCCCGUAGAGGGCCCAUUGUUUCUAUGGCCUGUAGAAGGCCUACUGUUUCUACGGCCCGUAGAAGGCCCACUGUUUCUACGUCCCGUAGGAGGCCCAAUGUCACUACAGUAAAUAUUAGCCCAUGGUUAUUGUGGCCUAGUUUUAAAAAAUAGGUUAUUGCAGCCACUAGCAAACCACGGAAAAAGAACUGCACUGACUACAAGCAAACAAAUAAACAAGACAACAAGGAAAUAAAUAAGCAAGCAACUUAUGCUAGGCUAUCACGGCUAUUACACAUAUUACAUCCACUAGGCAUCAAAGUUCGCCACCAGUGCAAAUAUAGGGAGCAAAGCAGCAUAUAAACGCCGCAGGAAAACAAGUCCAGAACUGAAACCAGUUCAGAAGAGUUCAAGAAACAAUAUCCUGGGUACCCAUAAUGCUGGAAAGAUGCUUAGCAAGCUUAUUAACUUUCUCUUAUUUGGCGCUUUAAUCCUUCAGCGCUUGCUGUUGCACAAGAAAGUACGCAUCUGAAUUCUGCAGGGACUUCCUCAGUCCUUCAGCUUCUUGCCGUAGGACAGCUGACUGAUGCCUUUCAGCUUGUAGCUGAGACUAAAGAAGCCAAAGUGAUUCAGGCAACGAGUUCGAAGAGCUUGUGCCAGGGGUAUUGGCUAGUAACUCGAGCACUACAUCAACGCAGGACUGUGGGGUUUUCUCACUGUCUACAAGAUCGUUUUUAUCACCUUUCUUGGAGACCAAUAGGGUUGUCUCACUAUCUUGAACCUUAUCUGCAUUACUUUCUCUACCAUUGCAUAGUGGGGUGCUCUUCUCCAAUAUUAUGUUUGCAUACUACAAGAGAAACAAGUAGACACAUCACAGGUUUAGCUUGUAGUAUACGAAACUCAUUUUGGUAAACUGAUUCAGUAGUAAGGUGGAUAGGAUAACAACAUGAAAUAAACAUAUAUCUAUGUACUAUGGUCACUGUAUUGUCCAUAUCAUUCUAGUUUAUGUUCCGUAAUCAAGAUAGAGACACAGUUCAACUCAUAUAUUUUUAAGACGCAGCAGCAUAGACAGAAUAUAAGUGUGAGAAACUACACAGCAUUGGCAGCACUUGUAAUGUGCAUCACAUGAGAACAUAACUAUUUAUACAACUUAAACUGAAAUCAACAUAGAGCAAGAAGUUAGAACAACAAUCCAGUUAAAGAAAUAGGUUUAAAACAUACCUGUUGUGCCAUUGGAGUUUCAAUUGGAUCCUUCAAAUUCGAAAGUAGUUGGUAUGAGUAAAUACAGUGAUGCAACAGCAAAGGAGUAUGGACCAUAGCUACAGAAUCUGACCUGAGAACAGUUGCUCUUCUGCUUUAAACGUGGAGUUUGGUUAGCUGUGGUGGUCUUCGUGCUUUGGGCACUGCAAUAGCUUUACAAACUACUCGUGUGGGGGUACUCUGUGGUGGACAUGGUGCUUUGUCAACUAUAAGUGGGUUACUAUCCGCUGGGGUUGCAGUUAGAUGGGUUGUAGCUGGUUCUCUGCCCAACGGUGUAAGUGUGUAAUCUGGAAGAGUCUCGAUUAUGUGUGGUGGGGCUAGUUUGUGGGCUAGUACAACCAUGGUUCUAUCUGCAUCGACGGGUAGCACUGUCUUUUGUGAAGAACGGGUUUUUGCUCCCUUAGAUAUUGCCAUCACCCCCUCCAAUUCAAAUGGCUGAUAAACAAGAAAAGAAAUUGAACGUACAGACAUUGUAUGAUAGACAGAUGUGGUAAUUCACAUAUAUGUUGUCUAACCAAACAGGACAGCAUGACACAAUUUCACAUAUAUGAUGCCUAACUAAACAGGAUAGCAUGACACAGUUUCAGAUAUAUGAUGGAUAACUUAACAGGAUAUAAUGGCAUAAUUCAACAUAUGAUGAGUACCUAAACAGGAUGACAUGACAAAACUAUAUGAUGUCUUUCUAAAAUAGGUUGGGAUGAAAUAAUUCACAUACAUGUUGUCUAAGUAUACAGGAUGGCAUGAUAUAAUUGACAUAAUUGAUUCAUAUACUAAGCAGCUGGCACUCGCAUGUAUGAUCUNNNNNNNNNNNNNNNNNNNNNNNNNNNNNNNNNNNNNNNNNNNNNNNNNNNNNNNNNNNNNNNNNNNNNNNNNNNNNNNNNNNNNNNNNNNNNNNNNNNNNNNNNNNNNNNNNNNNNNNNNNNNNNNNNNNNNNNNNNNNNNNNNNNNNNNNNNNNNNNNNNNNNNNNNNNNNNNNNNNNNNNNNNNNNNNNNNNNNNNNNNNNNNNNNNNNNNNNNNNNNNNNNNNNNNNNNNNNNNNNNNNNNNNNNNNNNNNNNNNNNNNNNNNNNNNNNNNNNNNNNNNNNNNNNNNNNNNNNNNNNNNNNNNNNNNNNNNNNNNNNNNNNNNNNNNNNNNNNNNNNNNNNNNNNNNNNNNNNNNNNNNNNNNNNNNNNNNNNNNNNNNNNNNNNNNNNNNNNNNNNNNNNNNNNNNNNNNNNNNNNNNNNNNNNNNNNNNNNNNNNNNNNNNNNNNNNNNNNNNNNNNCAUCUCUCUCUGAAUCCUCCUUUGAGGAGCUAUCUGUAACCAACAAGAAAUCUGCAUCGACAGGUAGCACUGACUGCUCAGAAGACCUUGUUUUCACUCUAGAUUUUCCCAUGACCGACUCAAAUGGCUGAUGCACAGGAAGAGUAGAUGAAUGAUAAACAUUGUUGACAAAUGGAAUACAUUAUGGAAAAAAUAUGGCAUGAUACAAUUCACAUAUACGAUGACUGGCUAAACAGGAUGGCAUUGCAUGAUUCACGUAUAUGAUGCCUGGCUAAAGAAGAUGGCAUUACAUAAUUCCCAUAUACUCCCUCUAUUCCUAAAUAUUUGUCUUUUUAGAGAUUUCAAAUGGACUACCACACACGGAUGUAUAUAGACAUAUUAUAGAGUGUAGAUUCACUCAUUUUGUUCCGUAUGUAGUCACUUGUUGAAAUCUCUAAAAAGACAAAUAUUUAGGAAUGGUGGGAGUAUGAUAUAGAAACCAAAUAGGUGGCAUUCACACAAAGCAAAUCUAAACUAAGCUGAUGACAUAUAAGAUGUAUAAUGUAAGCAAUGCAAGGCGCCAUAUGCAUGAUAUGACCAACUUCAGCAUGCCAGGUUAGAGCAAACACCUCAGGUGGUAAACAGGCGUGGUCGGCUCCGUCUGAAUCUCCAUCUGAACAGUUAUCUUCCUUUGGAAUACAAUCUGGAAAUGCAGGAGGAGGGGGGGCACUUCGCCCACCAUGGAACGGCGUCUGCAUGACAUUAUAUUUGCACGCAACGGUCUUCUCUUUUUCUCUACAUGUUCAGUACAAUUGUGUACCAUAUCUGACAUGCAUAAUAAAAAAAUUGUUAGAUUUAAGGCCUAAGGGGUGCAUGCAAAAAUCAAGACUGAUGGUAGCAAACGAGUGGAUGGAUCCAAAACUAAUGAUAGCAGGUAGAUUAUAGCUUCAGUUUAAAAAGAUAGACAAUGGAUCAUCUAUUGUUUGUUCCCACCCAACAUGAACCACAUAGAAGACCCCAGAUGAACCAGAUAGUAGACAGAUACUAUUUGUUGCUGGCUCGAUAUGAGACCCAUGGGCAAUUCAAAACUCAAGAUUGAACGAUAAAGUAGUAGGUAAUAAUAACCGAUGUAUAACGUAAGCAAACACGAAAGACUGCGACCUCUCUUCCGGAACUGUGUAGUCCUCAGGUUCAUCUGCUCAGUCGAUGAUGGUAAUGCAGUUGGCGUGGCUGCCGGCAACGGGGAAGAUGAUCUGAGGCGGUGAAAGGAAGUCUGCAGGGGGGAUCUCUGCUGCAGUGAACGCUUCUGUUGAUGGUGCACCUCAGGUGGGGUGGAUGACGGCACGACAAGAGCAGGACAUAACACAUAGAUUUUUCUUUGACGCCUAUCUGAAAAUGAAGUAAAUCUGUAAGGGCUCCUUAGAAUUGGAGGAUUCUAUAAACACAGGGACAGGAAAAACACAGGAAUAGGAUAGGAAUGCACGUGCAAAACAGAGCAUUUGGAAACAUAGGAUUUCAGUCAACCUGGGUGUUUGGCUCACAUGAAUUCGAAGAACAGAGGAAUGGAGAAACAAAGUGAUGCGACGAGUGUACAACCUCUUUGGCAUAGCCUUGUGGACCUCAGCAUCAUUGGGUUGGACGUGGAGGAUGGUGAUGAUGCUGGUGUGACUGUCGGAGGCGGGGAAGAAGAUCCGAGGCCUCUGGAAAUGGCGCCGAGGGUACUGCUCCGCUGUGAUGGAUGGUUCCGUCGUUGGAGUAGCUCCGCUAAGGUGUACGGCGACGAGGCUGAAGCAUGACAAGACAGAAAACAUUAAUCUGAAGUGGGACCCUAAUAUCAUCUGCAAUAGAUGAUGUAAAAUACAUCACCAAAAAGUGCUAGAUGUAAAACGCAUCAGCCGCGCCACGGCCGCUCCGACAGAUGCUGUAAGUACUAUUCACUCUGAACUUAACUGAAGAAAAUGAACUUCACAGUCGAAACUGAAUUUUACUGUCGAAACUGAUUGAACUAGUAAUAGAGCAUUGCAAUAGAUGUUUAGGGCGUUCGAGCACUAGUAGCAGAGAAGCAGUGAUCUAAAUCAGCAAACGCUCGAGCAGGGAACGCACUAGCAGAGAGCAAGUCAUGCAGUAGCACCGCGAGCGAGUGCUAAAGCAGCAACUCCUGUAGCUGCCGGAGGUCGUGCAGCAGCAGCAGCAACGCAGGCGAGAGCAAGAGCAGAGCAGCAGCACGAAUGAAAGCAGGAGCAGUGCAGCAGCGCGACCGACAGCAAGAACAGAGCCGCAGCGCGAGCGAGAGCCGGACCAGCUGCAACUAGUGCCAUUGUGGAAGUCGCCGCCGAGGAAGCAACGACAUGGGGGAGAGACACCAUGGAUGAUGUGGCUGGCGACGGCGUCGUCGAUGGAGACACGCCAUGUUUGCUUGGUAUCGAGCAUCGGCAGCCCCGUGAGAUCGAAUAAAAGAUAAAAUGCAGCGGUGAGUGCAGAACCUCCUUGGUGGCGCCGAGUUGGCCUCAGCUUCAUCGGAGGAAUUGGUGAGGGUGCUGCAGUUCCGGUGGGGCAGGUCAAGACGGCGCUGUGGGGAUUGAGCUGGCGCGAUAGACGAGGUGAACAUCGAGACAGCUCCUUGGAGGUGGAGGAUGGGGCGGCUGAUCCGGACGGACGACGAGAUCGACAACGGAUCCUCAUUCGGUGCGGUGGAUGAGGGACGGUGAGCUGUUGCAGUGGACGACAUAGUCGGGGAAGAGUCUCCGGCUGGGCGGCGGUCGGGAGGCCGACGGAGGAGCGUGGGGUUUCGCGGGUUUUGGCGGCCUCGGUGUACGAAAGGGGGGGGGCGAAGGGGGAGGGGGAGCCAAGCUUAGGGAUGCACUUGUCCGAAAUGUAGGGUAAGUUACCAGUGUACCCCCACCGGUUUUGACACCGCGACAUGGAGCUUCAUUUCCAGCUGAGGGGUAGAAGGGGGAUUUUGCGUGUCUGGGCUGCGGGAGCGAUUUUGGAUGAGGAGGGAGUUCUCGCGCGCGUCCAAAUUUCAGGAUAACAAGGCGCGGCGCGGGUUGAAGAAGCGGGAGUUUCAAAGCAGGUGAGACAAAAGAUACUCGAGCUUGAAAAUUUCGAGAUAACAAGGUGCAGAUUCCUUGUUCGGCAGAACAAACUUAACGUGUAAAAAAACAAUUCAUACAAGACACAAGAGAGUCAUGUUCCCUUUUACUAUAUUGCUAUAGAUGCCAUUGAAAAAACUACAAGAAAAAUGUAAAAAAAAUCGGGAGAACAAGAUUACCCUACACAGUACCAAAUCAAUUCGCACUUCCCUCAACAACAACAAAAAACAAAUCAAUUCCCACCAAAGAAAGAGUAAUGUCCCUUUUUAUAUGAUUACAGAUGCCAUGAUCUUGAAUUUCAAUUUUUGAAUCCACGUUAUGUUGAAUUCGAAUAUAUCGUUAGGUGACCUUGUGGUUUAUAAUUGAUGUAGUCGUACAUUUUGAUCUUCCAUCAUAUAUGAACAUUUUACUCCACCAUGUGAACAUAUAUAUUGUCAUCUACCAUAUGGACUAAAUUUGAAUCAAUUUUCCUUAUUUGGAUACGAUUGUUGUCAAGUUAUACAAUAAUUUAAAUAUUAUCUUGAUAACAAAAAACAUACAUAUAGCAGUAAUCAUAUUUCACUAUGAACUACAUGUACCAUAUGCUCUCCAAUUGAAAAAUUUGUAUCCAUUUUAUGUUGAAUUCAAAUCAUAGUACAUUAUUGGUCUAGGUAGCGAGAUGUUUGGGAUAAUCUAAACCCUGUUUUCAUACGUAUAAUUUUUGGUUGAAUUGGGACAAGUUUUGGUAUAAGCCUCUUGCAAAACCGGAGAUUCUCUCAACAAGCCUCGUGGUUCUGAGAGGGAACGUGUCACCUUUGUGUGCAAAACAAUAUACGCUGCCUCCCCCCUGAUUUUAUUUAUAGAGGCAACAUAGAACUAUAUGAGUGCCCUGUUAAAAUUUGGAAUUAUUUCGGGUUCAUUUGGCCUUUUAUACAUUAUUUGAGUUUCUGGACUUUUAAUGUGCAUAAUCUAAAUAUGAAUUGCAUGCACAUGCUCCGGUGCACCAAAGUGGGUUGAAAAAUCACAUGUGUGUCCUUGGUUGAAUUUCUAGGUCCCAUGGAAGAAAUGAGAAUGAAGUUCAAACAUCUAGGCGUCAUGACUCGGCCGAGAACAUCGAGAAACUUUGAUUUUAAAUUCAUGUAAAUCCAAAACUCGCCUGGAAAUCAUGAAACAUGGCAUGGUGUCAUGUCAUGGCACUAACAUGUUGUGGUAAAAAAUUGGGCCGAUUUGGAAGCUCGUGGUUCUAAGAGGGAACGUGCCACCUUUGAGUGUGAAAUGAUAUACGCUGCCCCCCCCCCCUUGAGUUUCUUAACAAAGGCAACAUAGAACUACAUUAGUGCCCUGUUAAAUUUUGGAAUUAUUCCGGUUUCGUUUGUCGUUUUUAUACAUUAAUUGAGUUUCUGGUCAUUUAAUGUGCAUAAGUCAAAUUUGAACUACAAGCACAUGCUCUCGUGCACCAAAGUUGGUUGAAAAAUCACAUUUGUGUCCUCGAGUGAAUUUCUAGGUCCCAUGCAAGAAAUGAGAAUAAAAUUAAAACAUCUGGGCAUUGUGGCUCGGCCGAGAACGUUGAGAAACUUGGUUUUAAAAUUCUUGUAAAUCCAAAACACGUCUGAAAAUCAUGAAACUUGGCAUGGAUGUCAUGUCAUGGUACUACCAUGUUGUGGUAGAAAAAUUGGCCAAAUAGGAACAGAUUUUGGUAUAAGCUUCUUGCAAACCGAAGCUUCUCUCAAGAAGGCACGUGGUUCUGAGAGGGAACGUGGCACCUUUGAGUGCGAAACGAUAUACAUUUUCCCCCUUGAGUUUAUUUACAAAGGCAACAAAGAACUACAUGAGUGCCCUGUUAAAUUUAGGAAUUAUUCCGGCUUCGUUUGGCCUUAUUUACACAUUAAUUGAGUUUUUGGUCAUUUAAUGUGCAUAAUUCAAAUUUGAACUACAAGCACAUGCUCCCAUGCACCAAAGUUGGUUGAAAAAUCACAUUUGUGUCCCCGGGUGAAUUUCUACUCCCUCCUUCCAUCUAUAUAGGUCCUAAUGCAUUUUUCGAGGCUAACAUUGACCAAACGUUAGAGCAAUAAUAUAUAACAUGCAACUUACACAAAGCAUACCUUCAAAUUUGUAUGUCAAAGGAGCUUCCAAUAAUAUAAUUUUCAUAGUAUACAUCUCAUGUGCUAUUAAUCUUGUCAAUAGUCAAAGGCUAUCUUGAAAAACACAUUAGGCCCUAUAUAGAUGGAAGGAGGGAGUAGGUCCCAUGCAAAAAUGAGAAUAAAAUUCAAACAUCUGGGCAUCGUGGCUCGGUCGAGUACAUUGAGAAACUUGGUUUUAAAAUCAUGAAACUUGGCAUGGUGUCAUGUCAUGGUAGUACCAUGCCGUGGUAAAAAAAAUUGGCCGAAUAGGAACAAAUUUUGGUAUAAGCUUCUUGCAAAUCGGAGCUUCUCUCAAGAAGGCUCGUGGUUCUGGGAGGGAACGUGUCACCUUUGUGCGCAUAAUUCAAAUUUGAAAUACAAGCACAUGUUCCAGUGCACCAAAGUUGGUUGAAAAAUCACAUGUGUGUCCUCGGGUAAAUUUCUAGGUUCCAUGCAAGAAAUGGGAAUGAAAUUCAAAAUUCUAGGUGUCGUGGCUGGGUUGGAAACAUUGAGAAACUUAGUUUUUUAAUUCCUGUAAAUCCAAAACACGCAUGAAAAUAAUGAAACUUGGUUUGCUGCCAUGACAAGGCACCAACAUGCUGUGGUAAAUUUGCAGUCCGAUUUGCGAAGGCGCACACAUUAACAAUCAACAAAGUCAUUUUGGAAUAAGUGUUGUCACGUUACAAUCGGAAACACAAGUAUUAUUGAAACCGUGGGCGUUCUACUUACUAGUACCACUUACGUGCCGCCACGCGUCCCCAUUUUUUAUUAGCUAGGAGGCGCCAUGCAGGGUAGCUUUUUGAGUACGAGUGGCGUGCGAUCAGACCCCUACGCGUGCUUAUCGGGAGGAGAGCCCUUUGACCUCCAUUUGUCGUCCACCUCUCUCCCAAGGUCUCCAUUAAUGGCGCCCGAGCCUCUGUUUAAUGGCGUGGCUAUGUCUCACUCGACUGAGAUUUAAGAGAGAAAAAAGAAAAUCUGAAAGCACGGAUCUUGAUGUAAGAUCAGACGGACCUAUAUAGCAUCUACUGCGACUUAUAGCAAGAUUGAUGAAUAUAUAAGGACGAUUAAAUUUUUUUUGAUCAAAGAAGGGCUUGCCCCUUCUGAUUUUCAUUACUGAAAACCACCACAAUUCACAAAAAGUUCAGCACAACUCCAGCCUAACACGAAGGACUAAAAGCUACCAGAUUGAAAUCGCAACAUCCCAAGAGGCCAACAAAGGCCAAACAUCUGCGCUAGAACCCAACAUUUCACAACCGACGACACAAUCCACAUCCUAAACCGAUUAUGACAUCAAAAGAAACCAGGAAACUGAAGGAAGCCCAGCAGCAACUAGAAGAACAACAACGCCAAGGUCGCCACAGCAAGAGUUUUCUUCAUUCCAGCCUCGCAACAUUGAUCUUCCACAGAAAGAUAAGGAUGAUUAAUUGUAUUACAUAAUUAGAAAGAUAAUUAAAAAAGCCACAUGCGGCUACACCCGAAAUACACAAGGGCAAAAGAAGAAGGAAGACAAGGAUCUGGCUCGCUGAUCUCUACUUUCUUGAUGCGUUGCUGCAGGCCGCGGGAACUAGUCUCUGCGGCGAGCGGCGAUGAGCUCUUUCGUGUCCUCAAGACGCUGCUUGAGAACAUCCACGGAUUCCUCCACCAGCCUUUGGCGCUCGUUGCGGAGCAUGUCAUUCUCGUCCAUAAGUUUCUUGACGAUGACGCCGGUCCUCUUCAACAAGGCACUGGUCUCCUCCUGCUGGUCUGCACUUCGGACGAUCUUCUCCCUCAGCAGGUCGCGCUCAGCCCGAAGCCUCUCAUUGCCCUCCCUUAGUUUCCGGAUGACGCCGGUAGCCUGUUCAAAUGAGGCUUUCAUGUCAUCCUACAACCUCGCCCAGCCGGAGAUCUGAUCCAUCUGGCUAUGGACGAUCGCAUGCAUGCGCCUGUAACAGUCGUCGCCUGCCCGCGAGAAAUUUUCCCAGACUGCCACGGCGCGGCGGGACAUCUCUGCUGCAUUCGGGGCGCGGCGGGACAUCUCUGCUACUUCCGCGGCACGGCCGGACCAGUCUGCUGCAUCAACGGCGUGGUGGGACCUCCGUGCUGCUUAAGCGGCGCGGCGGGACCUCUGUGCUGCUACUUUCGCGCGGCGGGACAUGUCGGCUGCUCUCGCAAUGAGGCGGGACAUCUCUCGUGCUUCCGCUUCCAUGCUCGCCUCUCCCUGGUGGCAAUGUCUCGACCUAGAACUCACAGUGGCCAUGGCAGACGCAAGGGAAGGAUGCUGAAUGACUUGUUUGUUUUUGUGGAUGAGGAGUUGAGGAGGAAUGUGCAGUCAUCUUGGCAUACUAGUAUUUAUAACCGAGUACUAAUACGCUCCUAAGUGGGAAACCGUUUAGGUUGUGAUCGGUGUGAACAGGUUUGCAAUUCAAUAUAGUGUGGUAUUAAUACGCUCCUAAGUGGGAAACCGUUUAGGUUGUGAUUGGUGUGAACAGGUUUGCAAUUCAAUAUAGCAUGGAGUAAUUUGGAAUGUGACGAGACGCAAGCUCAAAAUUUAUUGACGGUUCUUGUUUCGAAGUGCGGCACUAUUCCCGAAUGGAGUACUUCUUUUUCUACUCCCUCCUUUCCGGUUUUAUAGGGCUUAUCUCAAAAUUUUAGUUUUUUCAUUUUAUAAGGCUCAAUUUGGUUGUUUCCCAACACAUGUUCAAAUUCCAAGGUGCAUUAAAUCAUUGCAUGCAAGUAUUAAGAGAAAAUUGACCAAUGUAUGUACUUUAUGCAUGCAUGCAUUGCAAUUAAUGCAUUGAUAAACAUAAUUUUUUGAGAAAAACAAGAGCGUUAAUUAGGUGCUUUUGCAAACUACAAAAAAUAUUCCACCGCUCACCAUCUUGGUUGGUGAGAUUUUUGAAUUAAGCCCUAUAAACCGGAAAGGAGGGAGUACUGCUGUGUACGUGCAAUAACUGGCACCAUCGUAUACAUAUCUUACGGUUAAUGGGGCGUUCGACAGGAAUAGCCGCGUGGCGAGCUCUAGGCUAGUAUUUUUUUAGACGCAUUAAACCUAUCUCUCGGGACUUCUCGCAUGCACCAUCGUGCCACCCACAAAAACUUGUACUCUGAGUUUAGUAGUACGUUAUACAGGAAGAGAAGAGGUGCAUGCACGCACUCGUCCUCUCACACACGCGUCUGUUUUUUCUCGAAAAGGAGGAUGAUGACCCGCGGCCUCUGCAUCUGGGAGUCAUACACGCAUCUGUAGCUACGAAUUGUAGUGUUCUCAACCAUCCGAUUGGCUCUAUCAUGGAUGUACCUAUAUACUAAAACAUGUCUAGAUACAUCUAUAUUUUGACAAAUGGAAGGCAUGUAUUGUGGAACGGAGGGAGUGCUUGUCAUCAAAAUGGAUAAAAAGGGACGUAUCUAGAACUAAAAUACGUCUACAUACAUCUCCUUUUAUCCAUUUUGAUGACAAGUAGUACUUCUUACCCAAAGGAACUUUAUAUCCAACAGACACAAAAUAUCCGUUCGACUGUUGGAAAUUACUAAUCUGAUGUCGAAGUAAUUGCUGCAUCGCCACCAAAACCCACCAUUUCUGAAGCUAAAGUAGACCAAGGUAAUCCCUAUAUUAGCAUAUUACUAAGAUAAACAGAAGGCACUGUAGAAACAUUUAGGACGUGAGCUUGUCAAUCUGAAUGUGGAGGGACACAAGCUUAGCCCCGGCCAGCAGCUUGGGCAGAACAAUCAAGAAGGUCAGCUCCUGCACGUCGACGUUGUUGGGAUCCUUGCUGCUUGUCACCUCCAUUUCCACCUUGACGGCGUCGGUCGUGCCUUUGGGCUCCCCCACAGCUUGGCCAUGUAGUGCGGCAGUGUGGACGCCCCCGCUCUGAUGCAGACGACCGACACGGCGAUAGGCGCGCCGAUGUCGAGCACGCCGCCGACCAAGAAAAACGCGCGGCGGUCCUCCUCCGCGAACAGCAAGAGCCAUGGCUCCGACAGUGGCACUUGCAGCUGGAGCACCUUGCCGUACUGGAUCCUGUGCCCGGGCAUGGGAUGCGCGGUGCUGAUGUGGUGGUAGAGUGCCGGCGGCGGGCCUUCGUAGCCGCAGACGGGCACGAGGCAUUUGCAGGGCGCGAGCGGACACACGCUCUGGUGAUCGGCGAGCUUGUGGUAAGUGACGUAGAGCCCACAGCCUUCGUGCGGGCACUCCACCCUCACCGACGAAAGGUCGGAGUCCACCGUCGUGUUCCGCACGUCGAAGCUACCGCCGCGCUCGCACUUCUGGCACUGCCACUGGUUCCCGGGGUGCUCGACGCGGCAGUCCGCGCAGGCCAGGUGCCCUCCCUUGCACUGCAGAAAUCAAUCGAACAGCACAUCAAUCAAGAAACCUGCACCUUGCUCAAUCAGCCGAACGGACGAGGUGUAUUCGAACCUCAUACACUAGAGGCGUCAAGGGGCGGAGGCACAAGGGGCAGUGGAGCACGGUGAGGUCCAUCGAGACCUUAGAGAGCUCCAUCGUCGGGUCCUGUUCGGUCUGCAUGAUCUCACCCUCCUCGUGCACAACAUCUCUCGACUUGGGCCGGGGUAUUACAAAGCUUUACCGUCACAUAUUUUAUACUACUUCAAGGUGCAUUAAAUCAACACAUGCAAGUAUCAAAAGGAGAGUCACGGCAUGCAUGCAUGCAUUGUAAUUAUUGCAUCGGUAAACGCAAAUUAUUGAAAUAUAUCAAGUGCAGUGCUUUGAUGUGUCGCGUCAACUCGUACAUCAACGAGAAGUUUGAUUAUCCUCUCCCUCGCGGACUUAACUGCACCUGGCUUUGGCUGUAUGACAGGUUGGCCACACACCUGUCGUGCCCACCUGUCAUACACGCAAAGGCAGGAGCGUCCCUCCCUCGCCCAUGAGCAUGGUGGCUGGCAAGACUAGGAGAAGCCUUCGCUACACGCUCUCCCUCCCUCACGCGGCGGACAUGCAGCAGUUCAAUCGGUGUCAGAUGGCUAGAAGCGUACUGUAGUACUGCUCCAGUGCAGUAGUACUCCAUCAUUGUUCGACUUCCCGAAGAGGCGAAGAGCCAAGCGCAGCCCGGACGCUCGUGUGGCAGUUUCAUGUGUAGAGUAGUCUAGGAUAGCGUGUACCGUGCCGUAAGCUUAAAAUUGUUGGGGUCAGCUCCAUGCUAUGUGGCCGUUUCGAAGUUUUCAAAAAAUAAUUAAAAUAGUCUUCUGGCCCUACCUGACACCCUAGUGAUUGUAGUUUGCACGCCCAUCUGGUCAAGAUAGGAAUAUAUAUUUUAAUUUGUUUUUUUUCGAAAAGGGGGGACUCCCCGCCUCUGCAUUAGAACGAUGCAUAUGACCACAUAUAUUUUAAUUUGUGGUGGGUAAAUGUUAGAGGUUGCAGCAAAUAUAUUGUACACUACGGGUCUUUCAGCCAAGUUUAGAGGCAAGCAUGUGGGGCCAGUGCUAUGAUGUGUUGCGUCAACUCGUACAACGAGGAGAAGCUUGAUUUUACUACAUGCCUUCUCCCUCACCCAUGCGCGCGGUUGCUCGCAAAUGAGGACAGGCUUUUGCUUAGUAGUACUUCUACAACAAGCUAUCCGUCCCGCUCGUGGUGGACGAACAUGCAGCAGUGGAUUUGACACUGUAGAAGCAGUAGUAGUAACAUCAUUGUUCAUCUUCUCGAAGAGGCGAAGAGCCGAGCACAAACUGAACGUUGCAGUUGCGAACAUUGGAGCACGCAUAUAGCCAGGCUCUUGCAUGAGACAAAAUUGCUAUGUGAGCCCACUAUUGUACUAGUACGUACAACUACUUGCUAGUAUAGCCCUGUAAACUAGAAAGGAGUAUUUGCCCUUCUAGAGAUUUCAACAAGUGACUAGACUACACUGAGACGGAGUACAUAUGGAGCAAAAUGAGUGAAUAUGCACCGUAAAUAAAUACGUACUAGUUCUAUCGUUUUCCUCUCCGAGGUGCACAAUAUUGAGUAUACUGACUAGUCUCUUUUUGACACGCAUUUACGUUUUUUUACACAGUACAGACGCAAGCGGUUAUAUACACACGCAUACACUCACCCCUAUGAACGCACACACGCACGACACUAUCAUCUUGAAAUUUACGAAGUCACCAUAGGCACCUCGUCGUCGACGGGUCCAUAGGUGCUUGAAUGCCAAGGAGGGAGAGGGUAGCGGUUCCCAAGACGUUGAACGGUCAAUGAUGCAUCCUCAAUUUCAUGCAGAGGGAAUUAAUUGAAGAAGCAGAAUAGAGCCAGCACGAUGUGAAUGCAACAGAGUUUGGACUCUCACAUAAUAAAGGCACCCCAGCACUCCAAUCCAUCUACUCCCAAGUCUCUGCGCAACACUGCUCACUCCAAUCCAAGACCAAGUGACCAGAAGCCACAAGCACCUAUGGAGGCGAUGGACGUGAGCGGCAGUCGGCUGUGCCAAAUCAUCCAAUGCGCCGGCCUGCGGCCCCGCACCGCGCAGCGUUUCCAGAUGGUGCUGGCGACCGCAGGCAUCGUAGCCCUCGCCGACGUCGGCUUCGCCUCUCGCAUGGAUGACAUGAUGGUCAACUCCAUCCGCAAGUUCACCGCCGUCAAGAAGCGCGCGGACAACCUUGCUGUACUGCUCCAGCCCGCGCGCCCAGGCUCCUCAUUGCCUGCCACCCUCAUCGGCCUCCAUGGUGAUGAACUCUUUCAAGCCCUGGUGGCCCUGCAGGUGCCGGAGGUCGCGACGAAGAAUGUGCACCUCGAGGCCGCGCUCGCCGUGCAGUGCCUCGCCAUGCAAGAAACCGUCAACCUGCACAUCCACGUCUACAAGGAAAUCGUCUACAUAGGACACUACAAGGCAAGCGAGGACAGAAAGACGUUGGCCUUCUUCCAGCGGCUGGAAUCUUUGGACACCAUUGUUCAGAAGCACGUCGACCUGGCCACGAAAGCCGUUGCUACUUAGGCGCCGUUCAGUGGGCCGACGCCCUGAGUCGAGGAGGUGGACGUCAUUGAUGGAUGCAUCUCUUCUUGUCUCCUGUAACCAGCACUGCAUCGCCUCGUGGCCUUAAUGUUUUAUUAGUAUAGUACUCCCUCCGUUCCCAAAUAUAAGUCUUUCUAAAGAUUCCAGCAAGUGACUACUACAUACGGAGCAAAAUGAGUGAAUCUACACUCUAAACUAUGUCUACAUACAUCUGUAUGUUGUAUUCCAUUUGAAAUAAUAUCUAAAAAGGCUUAUAUUUAUGAACAGAGGGAGUAUAUGGCAUUUUUAUUCCAGUAGUAACGUUUUCACUGUGAGGUGGGGCCGCAGUUGAGCAAACCCACCCCGCCCACUGGGCGUCGGCCGAGUUUAAAAUUAGAAGAGAGAAACGAGGGAGGAGCGCUAGUUGUAGCACGGACGCUGUUGUCAGAUGGGACUCGUGUUUAUAGAAUAGGAGUACUGAGCACUCGUGCCUCUUUUUUUUGAGGAAAAAAAAUAGUUGUAUGUCUAGUACAACUAGUUGGGUGCGUGCGGCCUAUAGCUAUCAUCACUUUAGGUCUCCUUUUCGAACCGCGGCUACGCUUCACAGUACAUAUUAUUUCACGCAUUUAUCCUCCUAUAUGUACUCCUAGGCUAUUUCCACGUGCUCCCAUUCGCCGACAUGUGGGACAUAGAGCAUCUAGGUCGUAGUGCAUGCAUGACUCGGAGCAUAUGCCGGAGUACUUUACAUUUCAGACCUCACGAAUUACAUGCAAACCCCCCGUAGAAGAAUAAAUAAAUGAAUGAAUUACUACAUGAAACCAGAUUAUUUUCGUGGAAACAGGAGCACGUUCAUUAAAUUUUGGACAUAACACAUUUAUAAAAAAUGACCGGAGCGAAACCAGUCUAAGGGCCUCUUUGAUUUUUCCCGCAAAAAAGGGCCUCUUUGAUUCGUAGGAUACUGAAAACACAGGAAUGGGGAAAGUAUGAUGGCGAUGAACCGAUACAAGGAGAACUCUAACUCAGUUAGAGGUUGGAGUUAGAUUCCAACCCUGAACUAACUCUAAACCAAAGAGGUGUAUGGAUGGCAGUGUUAGAUUGACAAUAAAUGCUCUAUCUCAAUCAUUUGACCACUUUGGACCCUAUUUCCUGCCGGAUUUGGAGGGUGCUUGGAUACGUUUUAGUUCCAUGACUAAAAGUAGUGGGACUAAAACUUGCUAGCCUCACCCAUGCUUGGAUCCAAAUACUAAAGAGACUAAAAUCAAGUUAAUGAGCAUUUAUUAUCCUCCAAACCCUCCAAUCCAGAACUCGCCUGUGUUAAAGCAGAGGAGUUAAAUGAGGAGAGAGAGGACUAAUCCACAUUUUAGUAGGGGUACCCCUGACUAAAAAAUUUUAGUCUCAAGACUAGUUUUAGCCCCUCUUUAGUCAGGGGUGCUUGGAACUUUAGCCUCUUAAAGGGACUAUUUUUAGUCAGACUAAAAGAAGUCCCUUGGAUCCAAGCGCCCUCUUGGUGUAGCCGGCUCUUCUGUGGCCUCCUCCCGUUCACAAUUGACAUAAACGAACCAUCUAUACAAAUCAAGCAUGCAAAACAUGAUAAUUUUUACUUUGUCCAUACAAAUGAGAUAUCCCACUUAAACAUACAAGUCGUCAAUCAAGCUUCACAAAAUAAAAAAAACAC